UUCCACUUUUAGUCCCUCAAUUGAACACAUCAGCAGAAUCUGCUGACGUGUAAUUGAUGAUCGUGUAAUUUUAAUAUUUUUUAAUCCACAUGAUAUUUAUAAUUAUUUUCAUUAUUUAAAAUUCUAAAACAUAAAACAUAAAUUAAAAAACACAAAUAUUUUCAUUCCCUCAUCUCUCUCUGCGAUCUAUCUUCCCCCUCCUCCGACCACCAUCUCGGCCGCCGUCCAUCACAUCAUUGAAGCGCACCACCCUCGUUCUCCCUCUCCUUCUACACCCUCCACUGUCAUCUCUUUGUCCCUUUUCCACAUCUCUCCCCUCCAUCCUAAUCUCUCCCUCAUCAAUCAAUCACCACCACACCCUUCCUCCUCAAUCACCACCACCAUCCUCGUCGCCACCACCAUCUCACUUUAAUUCUAAAUCGUAAUUUUCUUUUAAAUUUUCUGGUGUUUUGAUUUGAAAGCCCCUAACCUUAUAAGUUUGCAUCAGAUUUGUUUAUACAAUUAAUUCAGAUGCAUUUGUCAAUUUGUUUCUCAAAACUUCAGAUCUGAAAUCUAAAAUUUAAGUUGGGGUUUCAUUUGACUUGUGGUGUUAAUUGAUUUAGGAGUUCAAUUUGAUGUAGGGUUUUGCAUUGAAGAAGAAUAAGAAAGAGAAUGUUUAAAAUGGGAUGGGUUGAAACAAGAAAAUGUGAAACAUAGAAAUAGAUGAAGAAGGAGAUCAAGAGGGUUAGUAAAUUUUUUUUUGUUGAAGAUGAAGAGUGUUUGGAACGAAAAAAAGCAGAUGAAGAGGGUCUGUUAUUUUGUUUCAAUUUUUAUAUUUUUCUACUUUAACAAUGUUUUAAAGUUUUUUUUUAAUAAGUAUAAAUCAUAUCCCUCAAAAAUGAAAUAAUUAUAAAUCAUAGAAAAGCCACAUGAAAAUAAAUUUAAUAAAAAAAAUAAAAGAAUUACACAGUCAUCAUGACAUGUCAGCAGAUUCCGCUGAUGUGUUUUAUUGAGGGACUAAAAGUGGAAGAAUCUAAAAUUACAGGGACAGAAUCUAAACUUUUUUUUUACAGGGACUAAAACCGAAAUUCGCUAAUAUUACAGGGACCAAAAGUAGUAUUAACCCUAUAAUUAAUUCUGAUAUAGUUCUUUUGUGAAUAAGUUUUUUUUUUUAAAAUGGAAAAUAAUGUUUAUGAAGUGAUUAGUAAAAUAAUACAAGUGUUGAUGUAUAGACUUAUGCGAAAGUAAGGAGUGGGUCAAUAACUAUUACAGCACCAACUUUAGAUCUCUACUUGAUCUAAUGGCUGGUAGUAUACUUUGGUACACCCACGUAACAAUGAAGAACAUGAAUAUCUACCAAUAUCCCAUUGAAAAACUGAGGGUGCAGCCGGUAGGCCUAAUUGUCGCUUUUGCUGUGAUGGCCACACUUGGUGAGUCAUAUUGACUUAAACUAUAUUACAAGCUUCUAUGGUCUUCAUUCUUUUGAUUGAUUUAUAUCAUUAUUUUGUCAUUUUCCUUUCAAACGAAAGGUUUCUGAAAUCAUAUUACAUUGUUGGGCUUGUAUUUUAAUAUAGUUGCACAUAUGCACCUUAUGAUUAUGGUUAUAAAUUUUCAAGAAAACAUUCAGCUUUACGCUUAAGAUUGAAGAAUCUGUUUAUUUAUUCUUUAGGCCAUAAAUCAAAAGAUCCUAUUUUGAGAAAUGAGGUAUGGUUAUUUAAUUGAUCCAAGAAUGAAUAUACCAACAAUGGAUUUGUCCAAUAGUAAAAGACUUAAAAAAAUCUGGUAUGGUUAGACUCCUUAAACAUGUGGUCAUGAGUUUGAUUUUGACUCAUGCUUAUAAAAAAAUCUGGUUGAAUGGAGAGAACCGACCUGCAUGCUGGUUUAUCAUAACCAUUCUUGCGUUUUAGUGAAUAUUCUUAUUUUAGGAAGGGUUUGAUUCCGACUCAUGCCUAAGAAAAAAUUUGGUUGGACGGGGAAACUCCACCUCCCCACUGGUUUGUAAGUAAGAUACGAUCAGCUUUUACUGUUUAGUCCAAAGCAUUAACUUUUAUUAUUUCAAAAAGUUUAUUUAUAUUUUUUAAAAUUUUUGAAAAUUAAUUUCCAUAUUUUUAAAUUUAUUAUUUAUUUUUAUAUGUUUAUUUUAAUUUCAAAAUAUAUUUUUUGUUUUUAAAAAAUGAUUUUAAAAUAAUAAAAUUACAAAAUCUAGUGAUGAGGGAGUAUGGUAAGGAUGUGUUCUUGGUUUGAUCUAAUGGUUAAAAACUAACUUUCCCAUGGUGGGAAAAAUUAGCCUUUCCCAUACUAAACUUCACCUAGAAUAUGAGUUGAAAAUAUAGUGUUAGUAACUAUAAAUACCCACUCAUACACAACAGCAAAAGUAGCAUAACGUAAGCAAUAGAGAGAGAUAGUUAGUUAGUUAUCCAUCGAACUAAAAAGAAGUGACCCCAUCACAAACUGUAAUUCUCAAUCAUUUGCAAAUCCAAACUCAUGGCAUAGUACUUAGUAGCAUACCUUAUUACCACCUUCCAAAACUUCAAUCAUGCUGGCAUGAAAAGUACCAGUUUUCCAUUCAUAUAUAUAUAUGUAUUUUUUUUCUUUUUUAUUUCUUUUUCUUAGUUAAAUAAUUCUGGAUUUCCAAAUAUCGAAACUGAAAGAGUUGACUAUGAAUUUGAGCUGUAUUUUUUGUUUUUCAUAAUAAGACUUUAUUGAGCUGUACAUUUUAAAAAUAAAAUAAAAAGAAAAAAAUAUCGUCAUUUAGCACACUGAAAUCAUGUUUUUCCCUCCUAGCUUAUUGUCUUUCUAUGCUUAAACACUUCAAAACCAAUGUCCAAUACACACUUAUGUCGACAUUUUACGACAUUGUAUAGUCUAAUAAAAUAAAUAACAAGCCAUAUGAACGGAAACAAAUUCCAUCUUUGUUGCUGUCAGUAUGUGCAUAUUAUAAUGUAACAUGGAAAUAUCAGAUUAAAUAUUCAAUCACAAUUUUGAAAACCUACAAAUUCAACUAACAAAAUAUCCAUAUAAACUCAUCUUUGUUAUUGUCAUUAAGUGCAUAUCCUCUUAAAUCUGAAUUUCUAACCAUUGAAAUGGGAUUCAAACUCUUUGUUCUUUCGAUCUUCAUUCUCUUUAUAGUCCCAACUCUAAUAGCUGCAGAGUGCACAUGUGACGAAGAAGAUGAAGAAAGGGACAGAUCAAAAGCUCUACGCUACAAAAUAGCGGCUUUAGUGUCAAUAUUAGUUGCAAGUGCAAUUGGUGUUUGUCUCCCACUUCUUGGGAAAGUGAUACCGGCAUUAAGCCCUGAAAAAGAUAUAUUUUUUAUCAUCAAAGCAUUUGCUGCCGGUGUGAUACUGUCCACCGGUUUCAUUCAUGUGCUUCCUGAUGCUUUUGAGAAUCUUACUUCUCCAUGUUUAAACGAACAUCCUUGGGGUGAUUUUCCCUUCACUGGUUUUGUAGCUAUGUGCACCGCUAUGGGGACUCUUAUGGUUGAUACUUAUGCAACCGCUUAUUUUCAGAACCAUUAUUCUAAAAGGGCACCGGCACAGGUUGAAAGUCAGACAACCCCAGACGUGGAGAAUGAAGAACAUACACAUGUUCAUGCUCACGCAUCACAUAGUCAUGCACAUGGUCAUAUUUCUUUCGAUCAGUCAUCAGAACUUCUUCGUCAUAGGGUCAUAUCACAGGUAAUAAUAAUAUAAAUUUAAUCAUAUAAAGAUAUUUGUGCAUGAGAUGUGAAUAUGAUUUUUUGAUUUUAUCAUAGGUGUUGGAGUUGGGAAUUAUUGUUCACUCUGUUAUCAUAGGAAUUUCUUUAGGUGCUUCAGAGAGUCCUAAAACCAUAAGACCAUUAGUGGCUGCGUUGACUUUUCAUCAGUUCUUUGAAGGCAUGGGACUUGGAAGUUGUAUAACUCAGGUAUAUCAUAUUACAUAUAUAUCAUUCAACUAGUGUGAAUGAAUUAUAAUCAAGUUAUCUCUGACCGUUCAUGGGGACCAUGAGUUCGAUUUGGUUGAUGUGAAUUGUGAAAUAUUAACUAUGGAUUAGGAUUUUUCAAAUAUAAGUGCGGUGAACUAUUGGUCACACUUGAAUCUAAUAUAAAGAUAAGAUAAUUUAUGAUUAUUCUUAUAUAUGUUGAUUUUUCACUAGACAUCUUGAUCCUUUCAAGUGUUUUGUGGCCAAUGUAUUUGUUUGUUUGGUGCCCUUGUUUGUUGUAAUAUGUUCAAAAGAUGUCAAAUUAAAUGCAUGAUCGUUUAUCCAAAAAUAUUAUGUAAUGAAACAUCGUCUUUUCAUUACUUUUUUUUUGGUGGUACACUUCUUUUUUAGUAUGCAUUCUUUGCUCUAAUUUCUUAAUUAAUCGGUGAAGGAUUGCUUUAUGCAUAAACAAUUUCACAUAUCAUCAUUAUUUGUAUUAAACUUUAAGUUUUUUAAUAUAAAAUAUAGAAAUCAUGAAAAUUGUAUCUUCAACAUAAACUAUAAAAAUGUCCGUGAGAAAUUCAAUAAUCACCUUCAACCGAAUCUCCAUAAACAAAUAAAAAAAUUCAACUAACAAUGUUAAACUUUUCUAUAACAUUUAGUUAAUGUUUGAUUAUGCAAAACUAAUUUCUAUAAGUUAUGUGUUUGUUACAUUUCAAGAGAUUGUGCACCUUAAUUGAAUGUAAAACAAGAAAACAUCAACCAGCAGCAUUGUUUUUGACUUAUUGAAAGUGCAACCAUUGCAGGCAAAUUUCAAGAGUCUAUCAAUUACUAUUAUGGGAUUGUUCUUUGCUUUGACAACUCCAGUAGGAAUUGGAAUUGGCUUAGGGAUCAGCAAUGUUUAUGAUGAGAACAGUCCAACUGCUCUUAUUUUUGAAGGAAUCUUCAAUGCAGCUUCAGCUGGGAUCUUAAUCUAUAUGGCACUUGUAGAUCUUCUUGCUGCUGAUUUUAUGAAUCCAAGGAUGCAAAAGAAUGGUAGGCUUCAAUUANNNNNNNNNNNNNNNNNNNNNNNNNNNNNNNNNNNNNNNNNNNNNNNNNNNNNNNNNNNNNNNNNNNNNNNNNNNNNNNNNNNNNNNNNNNNNNNNNNNNGGAUCCGAUGCUCCACGAUCAUAGGGUCUAGACCUGGCAUAUCUUCAUAGGACCAUGCAAAAAUAUCCGGAUAUUCCCGGAGGAGUUGGAUAAUCUUCUGUUUGACCCCUUCCUCUAGAGUAGCACCAAUCUUGAUUUCUUGCUUGUUCUCCUCGGUACCUAUGUUGAUAAGCUCAAUCUCUUCUUGGUGAGGCUGAAUGGCUUUCUUUUCUUGCUCAAGUAACCGAGUGAUCUCAUAUGGUAUGUCAUCACCUUCCUCAUUUUCGGCUUCAUACACAGGGAAAUCAAAACUUGGAGGAACCGUAGGAUUACUGUGUUCAACGGGUUUAUUAUGGUUCAACCUGCAUAUAAUGAUUGGAUGAUUUUAGAAAGAGUUUUUUUUUUUUCAUGCAGAUUUUUGAAAUUAAUAAGAAAAUACAGACGUUUUGGUUUUUUCUGGCAUUACCAUCGUUUCCAAGGGAAAAACACUUAAAAAAAGUAGUCGUGGAAGAAACGACAAAAUUUUAUUAAUCAACGGCAAUGCCGAAACAAACAUGCCCUUACAGAAAAUAUCACUCUCGCUUUGGGCAGAGCGAGAGGAUUGUUAUUUUGAAAACAAAGCAUUAAAGCAACAAGACACAUUACUCAGAAACAUGCAUGAUUGAAGGAAUGUCAAUGGCAUCCCAAUCUCUCGCAAUGCCUCCUGGUGUAACAAAUACAGGCCUGAGACCAGAUCCAGUGGCUUCUUCAGAGAUAGCAUUAACAAACCCUGCACUGUGGAAGACUCCCGAGGAAACCCUUGAUGACGGGGAGAACCCGAGACCUUCUUUACGCUUGUUCUCACAGAGCUGUAUCACCUUGCCCCAGCCGGCAGUCUGACCUUCUUGGAUGGCUCUCUGAGCAUCCUUCAAUGAAGCCAUAGCAGCCCCAGCUUCCUUAGACUCUGCACCUUCAAUGGUCAAACCUUGGAAAGCAGUCCCUUCAGCAGACCCUGCAUCGUGUAUCCACGGUCUUCCCAGCAGGCAACUGUAGGAUGCAUUAAUGUCCAUCACUUGGAAAGUAACCAAGAAAUUCUCAGGGCCAAUGGUUAUCGGCAAGUCUAUCUCUCCCAGCACAUUCUUUCGAGAUCCAUCAAAAGCUUUGACCAAGAAAGUACUUCUCCUCAACGGGGUCCCAUGGUAGCUCAACUGGUCUAGAGUCGUCUUGGGCAUUACAUUGAGAGAGGAACCGGUAUCCACCAACACAUUUGAUAUCAUGUCUGAUUUACAAUUUACCGAGAUGUGCAAAGCCAGAUUGUGACUCUUUCCCACUUCCGGCAACUCUUCUUCACUAAACCAGAGGUUGUUACAAGCAGUAAUAUUUCCCACUAUGCCACCGAAACGAUCUACCGUAACUUCGUGGUCAACAUAAGCCUGCUCUAGCACUUUCAACAAGGUAUUCCUGUGAGCCUCGGAGCUCAAGAGCAAUGACAAUACAGAUAUCUUCGAAGGAGUCUGCAGCAAUUGAUCAACGAUCUUGUAGUCGCUCCUCUUUAUUAUCCUCAGAAUCUCAUCUAAAUUUGAAUCCUCUAUAGAUUUGCCUGACUGAUUCAUAUCUGUAGCAAUGGGUGAAACAACGGUUGGAGUUGCUUCUUCAACUUGUGGAGUGAUUGGCGUAGCUACCUUCUUCUGAAAUAAUGGCGGACGAACCUUCCCGCUUCUUAGCGCUGCAGAAGUCCCUUCGGCAAUAUUGCUUACUGUGGCAAAGGAGGCUAGAGGCACCUCUACUCCAUUUUCUAUCAUAGUAGCAUUGUACUUGUAUGGCACUGCCUUGUCCGAAACAUAAGGAAUUGGUCCUGGCAACCUUAUCACCAAAGGCUCAGCAUUCUUCUUCAAAGGUACACUCUUGACAGGCGGAUCGUGAAAAACUGGCACGACCACGCAAACAUCACUGACAGUCAGAAGAUUAUCAUCCAUCAAGCUUUGGAUGUCGUCUUGAACAGCAUGGCAACCCAAAGGAUCACGGAGGCAUCCUAGACACUUGGCAUGAUCAUGGCUGAACAGAGAAGCUUUGCACAGCUUGAUGUGCAGAGGCACCAGAGGAGUUGCGACAUUGCGGACAUCAAGUCUAGGAGUUUCCUCACAUACUUCGAUCAUAUUCACAGCGGCAUGAUUUGGUAGUGGAUUGUCGAGGACAUAUGGGACAUUAUUCUCAAAAGUCAGCUUCCCUUGAUCAAUGAGCUUCUUCACAAUAUACUUCAAAGCAUAACACCCCUCGACAUCAUGACCUAAGGCACCUUGAUGAAAGUCACAUUUGAGAUCAGACCUGAACCUUGGAGGCAACGGAUCAGGUGGUGGCUUGCCCUGUCUAGUUGUACAAUGCCCUCUCUGGAGUAGAGUUGGAAGAAGCUCUGCAUACAACAUUGGUAUAGGAGGAAAAGUUGGUCUGGUAUAUUGCUGCUGCUGUUGUUGUUGUUGUUGUUGUUGAACCGGCAACUGUUGUUUCAUCUGUUGGGCAAUUGCAUUGACGGGCACCUGAGGUUGGCCGGGUGGCAGAGGGUACUGAUGAUAAAACGGUGGGAAGAAAGGAUGCUGAGAAUACGGCAUGUAUGGGUAUGACGGAGGCAUUUGAGCUGCAUUGAUAGGAGCAACGGUAGCCAUUGAUUGACCGGCUCCAGCUGACACCAUCCCCACUUCCGUUUCUUUCUUCUUGUGGUGUCCAUUACCAUAUCUCUUCGACGCAUUUACAGAGGAUUCAGCUUUCUCAAACACGAUGAUUCCAUCCCUGACGGCUUCCUCAAGACGGGUUCCCAUAGUGACCAUCUCCGAAAAGUUGUUCGGGGCAGCGAUGAUCAUCCUCUCAACAUAAUCUUUCUUCAACGUCUUUAAGAACGUCUGGGUCAUUUCUUCUUCAUCUAAAGCAGGAGUGAUACGGGCAGCUGCCCCUCUCCACCUUUGCGCAUAUUCACGGAAACUUUCCUCCUUUUUCUGAGAUAGGGACCUGAGAAACUCCCUAUUCGGCUUCAAUCGAGUGUUAAACCCGUAGUGGCUCUUGAAAGCAGCGGCUAAUUCAUCAAAGGUAUGGAUGUCAUUCUUGCUCAAACUAGUAUACCACUCAGCGGCAUCCUCCAUCAAACUAUCCUGAAAACAGUGGAUCAUAAGGGAAUCAUUGUCUUUAUAAUUGCCCAUCUUUCGGACGUAUUUGAUGAUGUGGUUUUGAGGGCAAGUUAGCCCGUUGUACCGGUCGAAAUCCGGAAUUUUGAACUUUUUAGGAACAUCCACUUUUGACACUAAGCAAAGGUCUUGAGUUUUGAAAAAGUCCGCAUUCCCUCGAUUGGCCUUGAUCUCAUGACGCAGUUCUUUAGCAAGUUCCUCCAUCAUCUCUUCCAUGGUCUUGGUUACGGGGAUACUUCCAUGCUGUGUGUUGAUGUUAACACCUUGGGGCAGGGUAUGCACAAGAGGCUCAGUGACAGCCGCUGUUGUUUGUGGCAAAGUAGCAUUGAUGGAGGCAGCAUUUGUUGCAGAGAUCAGAACAUUGUUAGCAGUGCUCGAAGUGCCCGCUGCAGUACUGGGAGUGAAGAACGGUGGAAGCCCAUACGGAAACCCCACUGGCAUAGCAAAGCGAGUGUCCGCAGAAGUGGUUGGGAGCACGCUUGUAGUCACCGGUGCAGCUGUGGUUGUAGGGAUAGCUGUAGCUGAUUGCUCUUGAGCAGCUAGCAGAGCAGUCAUGACGUCAUUAGCUUUAGCCAAUUCCUCCCUUAGAGUGGCUAAUUCGGUGCGAAGCUGAGCGUUCUCUUCUUCCAUAGCCCUUUUCUUUCUUCUGUAUUCUCUGGUUCGAUCGGUUCUAUCAGGUUCGUAAAUCCUCUGAGCACGAGCCACUUUUCACACUGAGGCAGAGAAACCAGGAGAUAGUGAGCACUUGGAAGCCUUUGUGACCAAUGCAUGAUGCAUAUGAUGCAUGAUAUGCAAAUGCAAAUGCAAAAGACUUAUUUUUUCAUCGAAGGAAUUUUAAACAAAUUAGAAAUCUUUGCAAAUAAUCAAAACUACAUAGUAUUUUUAACAGGAAGACUUUGAAAUUUCAACAAGAUAAACACAUGAAGCCCUCAAGCAUAGGAAGUAGUCGGAGGAUCAUCGGACUCGGAAUCUGAAUCACAGUAUCUAUCAAAGAAGUCUCGUCGUCCUCGAGCUCUCUUGGAAUCCCUCAUAAGCAGCUCGUCUUUCUCUUCCAAUUCCCUCCGGACCUUAGCUAGUUCUUUCUUCAACAUCAGAUUCUCAUGAGUCUUCUGCUCAUCUCUACCAUCCAAAGUCAUGAUUAGAUUCUCGGCUUGAUUGUACCGAGCUUUCCACACUUGCUUCUCACGACUCUCCAUAGCUAGAUGCUCCUGAUACAUAUCCUGAGUCGCGGGAAGUAGAGGUAAAGGCAUAGACGGAGUGGAUGAAGACACGUAUCUCAUAGCUGGAUAAGGCAUACCAAUCUCCUCAGCUCGAUCUAUCACCCACUGAGUAUAGGCCUCAUGAGCGACACCGGAUCUCGCACCUAGAUGCUUCACACUUUUCCUUCGAACCUUGGACCAAGCAUCCACGAAAGCUUUCCUUUGUCCGGUAGGAGCAUUCGUGUAGAAGAAGAACUCUGGAGAUGUGGCAAGAUUGAUGGGCUUCGACUUCAUAGGGAAACCGAACUGUCUCAUAGCAAGCUCGGGGUUGUAGUUGAUUCCUCCACGGGUACCAAGAAGAGGUACAUUGAGAAAGUCUCCACAACCCAUAAUGAUUUCCUUCACCUGAGCGGCCGGAGUGAGCCAGACGACCUCAUUAGGAGUGAGGGCCAUAAUCCGCUGUGAGUAGGACCAGUUUUCCGAGUUGUCAUGGAAGGAACUCGGAAGGUGCGAAAUAAACCACCUAUACAAGAGAGACAUGCAGCAAAGAAUAUACCCACGGCCCUUGAGAGUCCUGUCAUGGAUGGCGUGGUAGGUAUCUGCUAGCAAAGUAGGAACCGGAUUCUUGGAAUGAAAGAUCUCGAUAGCAUUCAUGUCCACGAAGUCGUCGAGGUUCGGGAAGAGAAUGAGCCCGUAGAUAAGCAAAGCAAGAAUAGCCUCGAGUGUAUCCUGACGAGUAGUACCGAGAUUAGCCUGAUCAAGAAGAUACUUCGAAGUGAACCCCCGGAUGUGAGAUUUGGUAAUAAGAUGGUUGGAGACGUCGGAAGUCUUGAGGUAGAGAUCCUUAGCAAUAACCAGAGGAGUAAGAGAAGUCCCGGGACCGGUGAAAGGCGUCUUCUCGGCUAUAGGCAGACCCACUAGAUUGGAGUAAGCCUCGAGAGUAGGAACCAACUGGAAGUCCGGGAAAGUGAAGCAACGGAAGCUCGGAUCAUAAAACUGCACUAGAGUGUGCACUAGCUUCUCUUCCACAUCGGUUCGGAGCAAAGUAAGCAAUCCCCCAUAUCGGAGUCGGAACCCUGUUUGACUCUUGACCUUGAGUGCCAACUCUCUCAAACUAACCAAAUCCACUUCCUUGAACUUGUAGCACUUAGUCUUCUUCAUACCUGUGAUUAUUUACAAAAAAUUCUCAUUUGUUUAAACCCUUCGAUGAAUGCAUGAAAAAUGUUUAUGCAUGAAUGCAUGAUUGUGUUGUUUAGUUACAAUGUGGGUUGAGAUUCAAAGUAACGGGGCCACGGAUGGACACGGCGUCCGGGGAACUAAUGCUUUGGAUAGUAGUAACCAAGGUUCUAACACAGUUCCCAAACUGCAACCUCUCUCACAUAUAUCGUGGUAGUACAGGACAACACCCGUUCCAUGAUUAUUUGUGAGAAGGUCUAGUUUGAGUGUAGUAUCGCGUGACGACUAAAGUUUGAGACAACACUCAAUUUAGCCACCGCACUACGUCCUAAAAAGGCUAGGAUGGGUUUGGUAACUACGGUUCAUAGCUUCGUCGAACAAUUGAAAGUGAAGUGCCUAAGCAUGACAACACACGCCGACAAUAUCACCUUCAAAAUGCCUCAGCUAUGUGAGAUUGAUCGCAUAAUCCAAUACACGAGGCAACCCCCGGAUCGAAUUGUCGAUUAUAUCUCUACCUAAACAUAAGUUCACUCAGCCCGGGUAUAGGACUUUUGAUAUUCUCACCCCACACGUCAAAUGAAAAUAAACAAGUAUUCACAUAUGUAAGCAAUAAAAUAAAGCGUAAAUAUAAACUAAGGAAAACUAGGCGUGACCCGCUAAAAGAAAUCCCCAGUGAAGUCGCCAUUUCUGUUAUCAUGGUUUUGGGUGCCAAGCCAUUAAUUGGACUUGAACCUUUUGACCGUUGAUAUCCCUCUUUUUUCUUGGGAAGGGUAAAAGGAGAAAAACCCUUGAGUUUCCGAAUUCGGGGGUCGUUUUCGCUACGGGAAGGUGUUAGGCACCCGGAGCGAUUAUGGUAUUCCAUAAGAACCGCUCUCCUAAGUUUAUUUCUACGCUUUAGUUUUAUUGCUUAUUUGUAAAAAAGAAAGUGUGAUUAGUUAAGAAUGGGGGCGAGAAGAAGUAGAAUUUGAUUUUUAUUUCGGCUUGGAUGAGUUUUGACUCAUUGCCUACGUACCGUUUUACGGGAUCAAAACCGGCGUAGUUCUUGCUAAAAAGACUUGUUGUUUUUUUUUUUUUUGUUUUAAUUGUUUGAUUUUUAGUUUUUAAAAAAAAAGGUUUUGAAGAAGGAGAUUGGGAGGCUUCAUGAGCAUUAGAUUUAGCAAAAAAAGUGAGGUUUGAUUAGUGAUUAAAAAGAAAGUCUAAAUGAUUAAGAUGAAUUGAAUUUUUCUUAAGAAAAAAGAAAGGAAAAAAAAUGAAGUGUUGACUUCAUAUUUAUUAUGAAAAUUUUUGAAGUGAAGUUCAAUUGUUUUUUUUUUUGAAAAAAAAAGAUGGAUUUUCUCUAAGUGUUCAAAACCUAAGCAUUCACCUAACCAUACAAUCCUAUGCAUACAUCUAAGGUGAGUGUGUGCGUGUCGGUGCGUCAUAGUGUCCAUAGUCCAUAUUACAAAAAUUGCCUAAAUACAUUCUAUGGCCCCUUUGCCAAGCUACAAACCAAUGGUAACAAAUUACACCACCGAAUGAAUUAAAACUUGCAAAAAAGAAAAAAAAUGCUAGGCUUAAAGAAAGUAGAGAGUGGAGAGGGUGGUGGAAUGCUAUGAAAUGUAUGACACAUGAGAUGAAAUGGUUAGUAAUCAUAAAGCACAAAAUAGUGGGAAGUAAUCAAAAGGAAAUGCAUAAAAAUGGCAAAGAAAAGGUAAUAAAGUGGCGAUAAACCUAAAAACUUUGAUGUGAUACCCAAAGGUGCUUGUAACCCAUAAUCAUCACAUCAUGGCAAUUUUGAAAGAAAUUUUGUUUCAAGCCAUGACAUGGAAUUAAUGGAAACACAUGCAAGCAAGGUAUCACACCAAAUUCAUAGAGAAAUUUGACACUUUAUUCUCUAAAACAAACACUUGUUGCUUGUAAAACAAGAAAUCCAUAAAAUCACAUUCAAAACAGCAAAAAGACGCACAUGUCCAGAGGCAUAUUCAUCAUAAGAUAUGGUAUCAUUUAUUCAUAACACAUAUCAAAGUAUCAAGAACAAAAACAUAGCAAAAAGUAUACCAAAAGUGUAAAAACACAUGGAAAUUAGUUCAUGCCAUUUUAAUAUUUUUUCAUGCGAGAAAACACCAUAAAAAUGCCAAAAAUACAUUGAGAAACAACUAGGAUUUUUUAGGAAUUUUCUAUAAAAGGUAGGCAAACAACAGGGGCAGAUAGCAAAGACAGGCAGUGCAAAUAGCAAGGAAAUAGCAAAAAACGUAAAAAACUAAGCCCAAACCAAAGCCCAAUCCUCAAAAGAUCCGGAUGCACAGGGGACGUACGAUUGAUCCAGGGUUCUGAAACCCUAGAUCAAACGGCCAGGAACAAAGGGACUGGACCGGUUCUGGACCGGUCCGGUUCACUGGCUAUAUAAGGGGACAGGCACCGGUUUUUUUCAUUUUACUCUCUUCUUCCUCUCUCUAAACCCUUCUCUCUCUAAACUCUUCUCUCUUCUCUCACCUCCCUCCUCUCACCGGAUUCUGGAAAAGAUGGAAGAUCUUCAUCUUCCCCGGUGAGGCUUGUUCCUCCGGCACGGUGGCCGGCCGCCCAAGGGUGGCGGCGCCGCCGCCGGAGUUGAACGAACUUCACCAUUUUCAAAAAAAACUUACGUUUCCGGACAUCCUUUUUCAUCCUAAACACGAAUAUGGCACUAGAUUUUGCAUGCGAGGUCUGAAUCGUUGUAGAUCUACGUUUUUGUGUCACGGUUUUGAGAAUCUUUUUUUCUUUGAAACUUUCUUGGAUCAAAUCCUCUUUUAUCCUUCUUGAUCUGUAACGAUUCGCUUGCGUUGAUGCUUUUUGAAAAGAGAAAAACGAGAUUCACGCGUUUAUGGUUACGGUUACGGUUACGGUUACGGUUACGGUUCUUUUUGUGAUUCUGGAAAAUUGUUAAGUUUGCUGCUUGCGUGAUUUUGCAGGUUUAAACUAUGAUUUUAUUUUGUAAAGAGGUUCUGAGUUUUUACCUGAAAUUUUUGAUGGAGAUUCUGUGCUUUCUGUGUUGAUUUCCGGCUUUGAAACUGAAAAUAAAUCAGUGAUUCUUCCUUUUCUCCACCGGUCCAGAUUCUUCGUUUUCUUUCCCUCUUCUUCUCACUGUCUUCUUCGUGAUCGUGCUUGAGUCCGUUGCUAACAGUAAUGGACUCGCACUCGUAUUGUGAAGGAGGUGAUUCAAUGAUGAAGAUUCAGUAUUGAAUCUCUGAGAAUUGCAGAGAAUUUGAUGAAUUUGUUGAUGAUUCAGUGAUUCUGGUGAUUCUGGAAAAAACGGUUAGGGUUUUUGUUCUUGGUGUUCUUGAUGAAUCUGAGAAAUUUCUGUUUUGAUUCAAUUGCUGAGAGAGAGAAAGUUGGAAUUGUGUUUAUGAGUUGGCGUGUGAUUAAUGGCUUUGAAUCUGACUCACUGUUUAUAUAGUUGACAUGUGUACACUUGAGCCAAUGGAAUUGUGACACGUACCCUGGACUUGCUCACUUGGGCGCUGCUUGCUAUUUUUACUUAAGGACCAAUCUGCAAAUUGUGAAAAUGACAAGGACUGGACUGCAAAAUUAAAAAAAACUUGAAAUGAAAUAAAAAAAAAACAGUUUGGACAAAAAUGCAAUUUUGGGACCUCAAUUGAGGGACCAAAAUGCAAUUAAAAAUAAAAUUUGAAUAAAAAAAACAUAAUUUGACCAAACGUAAAGCGAAACACAAAUAAAAUUGACAAAACGGACUAAAACGAACCAAUGGCCUAAAUGAGGUACUUCAAAGUAACCUCCCCAUGCCAAAAUUUCGUGUGAAAUGACCAAAAUGCCCCUAGGGUUAAAAAUGAACUAAGCAGAAUCAAAUUAACUCGACACUGACUCAGAUGCAAGUUUGAAAUGAACUUAACAAGGUUUACUGAUGAAAUGUAAAAAAAACAAUUUGAAAAGACUCAGAGACAGUCACAAGGAUGAAAAUGGGUCCCACUGCAGGAAAUGACCAAAAUACCCUUCUGUAUGACUUUUUUUUGCAAAUUUUGAAAUAAACUGUAGAAAAAGCAAUGCACUGAUUCAGAGACACUUUUGAAUGACUUAUAAGACAAGUAAAGACACUUCAAAAGGUUUUAUGCAAGAAAAACAUAGGUGAAAUUGUGAUUGAAAAUACUGCGAGGCAGAGACAAUUUGAACUGUGCAGUUGAAAUUUGAUAAUUGACAAAGUUUGGAAUGAAAUUGGGCCCAGUAUUUUUAGGUCCAAAAACAGGGUAUAACAAUGAGUAUAUGAUAUGAUUUAGGAGUCGUUAAAAGAAUUACUAUUACUAAUUGAUGAAGUUUAAGUUGUUAGAUGCAUUUGAUGAAUUAUAUAUUAUUAUUAUUGAUUGUGAAUCUCACCCCUUCUGCUUGAAAAUGUUGCUCUUCGUAUGAGUAACUUGCAGGUGAUCAAGAGUAGGUUGCUGUGUUUUUGCUGUCGUGAGUGGCUAUCCCUCACUGAGUCGUUUAGGUGCUCUGAUACGUAACGGGAUGGGAACUUUGUUGCAUGCCUUUCUAUUCCUUACGUAUUGUUUAUAAAUUUACAUGAUUAAGUUGUUAAUUGGAUUUUUAUGAGAUGUUUUGAUGAUGCCUUCGUGCCAAGACUUUUUAUGUUAAUGAAUUUAAUCCGCUGCAAAGUUUGAAUUAAUAUGUUGAAGGAUAAAUUAGUUAAUUAACUUAUUUAUGAUUUUAUGAAGUGUAGCAUUCCGUUUACAUGUUGAAUACUCUGAUUAAUUAAAUGAAAAUUUUAAGUCGGGAAAACGGGGUGUUACAUCAAUGGCUGGUAUUGAUUCAUGACAAUCUUUGUGAAUCAUGCACAAAUUUGUGCAGUGUGCAUAGUAAAUGCCACCUUACUUGGAAGGGAAGCUUUUGUGGGCGACAUCUCCAGUACGCGACCUCAAUGGGUCACGUACCGUACUUGAGUUACUUUUUGUUUUCUUUACCUACAUGUGUAGGUUUUUUACGGUAAAUGACCUGUUGAUGGAGGUUACUAUAAUUCAGAAAUUAUUAUCUGAAAAUUAUGUUACCACCAAAUUUAGAGGGACAAUUCCGGUAUUCCAUAAUUCAUGUCUUGUGAUUCAGAACACCAACUACUUUCGGUCCAGAAUUUAUCCCUCCUCCCUUCUCUUUGCAUCUUGUUUUUGAGAUUCAGGCUUUCUCUCUACUCUCGAUCUGUUAAAAAAAAACCUUCUUAAUCUUCUUUUUCUUCAUAUUUGCAACCGUCUUGGAUCUAAACCCAUUGAAUCUAUUUUUCUUGGAUCUGAAGUUGUUGUUCAAUAUUUUGAUUGACAUAAGCGUGGUUGAAUACCAGAAAGGCAACAUAUACUUUUUCCGAAUACCCAAAAACAGAAUCACUUGCUUGUUUUUAUAUUAUGAAAAUGGAAUUGGUUCUUUCAAAAAAAAAAACAUGAAAUUGGAAUCGGAUGGUAAUAGUGAACAAACUCUGGUCAUCAAUCAAAGCUUAAGAAGAUGGUGGCGGUGAUAAAUUGAGAAGAAUAUGGAAGAAGAGAGUUUGUACAUGAACCUAGAACCUCUUCUUCAAUGGGGUUUCUUUUUUCUUUUCUUUUUUUAUUAUAAAUGAUAUUACUUAGUUUUUUUUUUUUUUUGAAGGAUUAUUUUUUAUUAUUGUUAUAACAACUAGCGAGAAAAUACGAGCAUACGAGCAUGUGAGUGUCUGUCUUUAUACUCUUUUUAUUGAACUAACGCAUGUAAAUUUUAUUAACGGUAUUUUAUAUGAAACCAGUGUAUUUAUCCGGUGUUGUCUGGGUUAGACAUAAUCAAGAAGAUCAAAAAAAUUUAUGUAUGGUAUCCGCAAAUAAAAUUAGGAAACGAAUAUCUAAAUAGGUACACAAGAAUAGAAUAAAAUAAAUCAUAUUAUAAGUAUUCGUAAAUUUAUAGAUGCACAAUCAAAUAAAAUUAACUAGAUUUAAUAAAAAAUAUUAACACAUAUAGAAUAAAAUUAACUUUUUUUUAAGUUUCCGAACUCGCAUAAAUUUAUACUUGUUAUUAAAUUAAUAAAAUUAUACAAUUGUUGUGUUACUUCAAAAAAAUAAUCUUCUCUUUAUGAAAUAAAAUAUAAAUGGAUUUCUUAAUUGAUGGUUUUUGUUUUAUUAGUAAUUUGUGAAUAGUGCUCAAAAGUGAUAUAUUUUUUGUGUUAAUUUAAGCAUUUUAGUGAUUUGUUUUGCAAAUUACUUAAGGGAAAAUCUACAAUUUAAUGCAAUUAUGUCAUUUAUGCUUUAGUUGCCUUAUUUCAAUAUAUUUUAAUAGUGUAAGACCAUUCGAAUCCGGAUACCUAUACGACCCGACGCACUGCCUUAUUUCAAUGUAUUUUAGUAGUGUAAGAACAUUCAAUUUAUGCUUUUGUUUAAAAUAUGUUUUGAAGGAAAAAAUGUUUAUUAUCUAAAAGAUAUUUUUUUUUACAAAUACUAUAUUUACUCAAUGACGUUUAUUUUGUGUAACAUGAAUACAAAUUCGUGUCAUCAAAUAGUAUUUUAAGUUUUAAUUUCUGUAAAUAUAUAUAUAUAUAUAUAUAUAUAUAUAUAUAUAUAUAAAUUUUUGAUCCCUAAAAAUUUCCCGUCACAACUUUUAAUCUCUGUAUUUAUGUAAAAUCAUGUGUUUUCUUCAAAAUUUUGUAUUAUUUUUGUCGUCGUGUUUAGUACGUUACAAAAAUCUCUCUUGCAAAAGUUUAUUUAUAUUUAACAAGUGAUUAACUAGAUAUGAAUUUUGAAGUUUUAACCACCUAAAAAUUCAUAUUUAAUUCAUAUUCAACGGUCUGAUUGAUUAUAUUCUAUACCGUUUGUCGGUUGGGUCUGUUUUGAUUGUCGGAAUAAUCUCUUUCCAUGUUAACUAGGUUUCUAAUGAGAUGGUUUGUGAGAUCGACUUACACUCGAGAUUCUGAUUUUUGAAAUUUCAGUCAUUGCUUAGUUGUUAUUCCAAUAAGGUCAUAUUCAACAGUCUAAUUGAUUAUAUUUGAUACCAUUAGUCAGUUUAUUUUUGAUCGUCGUAGUAAUGUCUUUCCAUGUUGACCAGGUUUAAAAUGGGAUAGUUUGUCAAAUCGACUUACACCGAAGAUUCCGAUUUUAGAAAUUUUAGUUCAUGCAUCGUUCUUAUUCCUAUAAGGUAAUAUUAAACGGUCUGAUUGAUUAUAUUUAUUUUCGUUCAAAUUCUAGACAUGUUUCAGUCGCCGGGGAAGUGUAGUUCCUAAGUUGACUAGGUUUCAAAGGGGAUAGUUCGUAGAUCGACUUACCUCCGGGAAUCCGAUCUGAUAAAUUCCAGUUUCUUUCUCCUUCUUGGUAUAUUAAGGUCAUAUUCAACGGUCUGAUAGAUUGUAUUUAUUUCCGUUCAAAUUCUAGACACGUUUCAGUCCUCGGAGUAAAUUAGUUCCUAAGUUGACUAGUUUUUGAGGGGAUAGUUCGUCCGAUCGACUUACCUUCGGGAACCCGAUCUGAUAAUUUCCGGUUUCAAUAUCCUUUUAGGUCUGAUAAAGUCAUUAUAAACAGUCGAAUAUUUUAAUGACUACACACGAAUAGAAUAAAAUAAAUCGUAUUUAUUUCAGUGGUAAGAGUUUGACUUUGUAACUGCAAAAAAUACAUUGUCUAAAUAUCACAUUAAAAAUUGAAAAAUAUUACUAAUAAAAUUUAGGCUCAAUUUCUAUUUUCGUCCCUUAAUUUUUUUUAAGUGUCGCUUUGGUCCCAUAAGUAAUAAAAAGUCUGUUUGAGUCCUUUACAUUUAUUUUCGUUACACGUUUUAGUCUCUUCCGUUAGGUUUAAUAAAAAAUCGUUAGGUUUAAUAAAAAAAACGUUAAUUGUUGUACAUGUGUCAUCUUCGCAUUGGCUGGAAUAUAUAUUCAUCUUCUUCAUCAAAUCUUCAUAAAACCUUCAUACAAACCCAGAAAGAAAGAAAAACUUAAACAGCAAGAAAACUCAUCAAAUAAAAUUUUACCUUUAUCAUAUGAAAUUCAAACACAAAACACGGUGAGUCUCGAUUGUUAUGAAAAGUAAUAAAAAAAAAACAUAAAAUAAAUAAUAUGUUGGUAUAUUACAUGUGCUUCUCAAGUGCAGUGAUAAAGAUUUAUUAAAUAGUUUUUGACUCUUGUUAAAAUCAAAUUGGUGAAAUGUUUUAAAUUUAAUCUAAUUAAUGCUAUUUAAUGUGCCAAUUUAAAAAAAGUAAAAACAAUAUCAAAUUUUAUAUAGACCAUCUGGCGCUAUUAAAAAAAUACUAUUAAUGAGUGAAGAAAAAGUCAAAUCAUGGCAAGUUUGGCAGGUUCUGUAUAGUCCAACCGUGAUAAUUUAAAUGAAGAUGAAGAGAGACAUAGGAUAUUGAUGAGUGACACAACAGAGAAUUAGCGGUGCAAGUGUAGUUCAUAAGUUGAAUAGGUUUUUGAGGGGAUAGUUCGUCAUAUCGACUUGCCUACGGGAAUCCGAUCUGAUAAAUUCGAGUUCUUAUCUCCUUCUUAGUCUAUUAAGGUCAUAUUCAACGGUCUGAUAGAUUGUAUUUGUUGCCGUUCAAAUUCUAGACACAUUUCAGUCGUCGGACAAGUGUAGUUCGUAAGUUGACUAGGUUUCUAAGGAGAUAGUUUGUCACAUCGACUUAUCUCUGGGAACUCGAUAUUAAAAAUUCCAGUUCCUAUCUCCUGCUUAGUCUAUUAAGGUCAUAUUCAACGGUCUGAUAGAUUGUAUUUGUUGUCGUUCAAAUUCUAAUCACGUUUCAGUCUCCGGAUAAGUGUAGUUCAUAAAUUGACUAGGUUUCUGAGGGGAUAGUUCGUCAAAUCAACUUAUUUUUGAGUUUCCGAUUAGAGAAAUUUCAGUGACUAUAUCCUUCUUAAUCUAUUAUGGGCAUAUUCAACGGUUUGAUAGCUCUUUUUUUUUUGUUGUUUGUGACCUAGCCUCGUUUCAGUCGUCGUACAAGUGAAGUUCCUAGUUGACUAGGUUUACGUAGGGAUAGUUUGUCAGAUUAUUUAACAUCAUUUUUUAAAUUUUAUCCUUGAUGUAUGUGUGCUCAUAUAAAUUGUAUUUAGCUUUGUGUCUAUGUAAGACUUGCUUUACUUAGAAACCCAAAAUUAAAUGAAUUAAAUCAUUUAUUAUUUCCUCACAAUUCAAAAUAGUUAAUGUUCAUUAUAUAGAAUGAAAAUCCUAGACUUGAACAAUUGAAUGUGUAGUGUAGUUCAUUAUGUUAUGGUUUGUUGAGCAUUUGGUCCCUUGUUCGAUCCAUGCUGUGGUCAUUUUUUUUUCUUUCUAAUCUCAUCUUCUUCGCCCGUAUACUGUAAAACGGAUUUUUUUGCCCCACGUUCCGACCCGAUCGGAUCUCACUUGUUACUCAAUGAAAUUCAACAAUUUUUUUUCAUAGUUUUGAUCGGAAUUGAAAGGCAUGAAGCAAGCACAAGCUUAUUUUACAAAUCCACAAUCCAAUCACAUAUUUUAUUUUUUAGGGUUCUUUAAAAUAAAAACACAUUUACAUCUUUAUUUUUUCGAUUCAGCAUCUAGCUGUAGUCAACUAAGGAAGGAAAGAACAAAUAAAAAAACACUGAUCUAAAGAAACGCAGAAAUGAAAAAACUAAUAUUUGAAACAAUCUCAAAUGGAACAUGGGUGGAGAAGAAUGAGAUUGAAGGAGAAUAAUUUGGAUUUAGAGGGUGAUGGUGAGGUUAAUUCUGGGUGUUAAUUUUGAAAGUUUGGACAAAGUAACAUGAAGGGGUAGAGAUUCAAUAUCUCCGAGAAAGGAAAAAGAUGAUUUUGAUUGCUAAUUUGAGUCAACUCACCAUGGUUAACGUUGAGAAGGAUUGCAAAUGUUUUUGCAACAUUUCCCAAAACACCCUUCAUUGUAUUUGUUAUUGAAAGUUCUAGUUUUUAUUAGUAAAAUUGUAUAUAAUAAUUAGGGCCUACAAUAUAAAACUUAACAGGUAACUUUGACUUUCAAUCAGAACCACUCAUUAAUUUAUAAUAAAUCUUAUGGCUGCCAUUGAUUCUCCAAAGAUCAAGUACCGUGCGAGACCCAUUCACCUCGCGUACGGGAGACGUCGCCGCUUUUGUGGCCCUUGGUUGAAUUGAGUUUGGUUUAACACAGGUUUUGCUUUUGAAAUGCUGACAAAGGUAUAUAUUCAUGUGUAUAUAUCUCAAUGUAAAUAUAGUAUAAGUUGUUAAUAAUUAGUACUCCCUCCGGUCCUAUUUAUAAGAAAAUGUUAAUUUUUAAGAUUUAUUGUAUAAUUAAUGUAUCUUGUUUAGAAUAUAGACUAAAUACAUUAUUUAUGCAAUGAAUCAAAAAAGUCAAAAAUUUCUUAUAAAUGAGAUUGGAGGGAGGGACUAAUAAACUACUCCAUCCAUCCUAUAAUGAACUAUUUGACAAUUGCACACACAUUAAAAAAAGAAUUAAAUAAUGCUGACAAAGGAUUAAAUAUUGUACAAAAAAGGAUCGCCGUACAUGCAAAGUGAAAAUUAUUGUCUUAAUAAUGAUACAUGCAAGUAUUAAAUAUAUUAAUUAGUGGACAAAGGAGUAUUUACAACUACUUUUGAAAAUAGAAAGGGUCGCAUAUAUUUUGGGAUAGAUUCUUUAUAUUUAUAAAUGAACCGCGCAUUGAUUCGGUUUUGAAAAAAGGAUUCCAAAUAUAAUCAGACCGAUUUUCAUAAAAGAAUAUCCAAAAACAUAUUAUAUCGAUUAUAUGAUUUUUGAUUUUUUAAUUUGGCUUGUGAUUUUAAUUCAAAUUUGAUUGUGACGCUUUUGACUCCUACCGCGGUCUUUUACAAAAAGUUCAAAGCGUCAUGGAUGAUAAUGUUGUGUCUCAUAGAUUUAUGAAUAUAGUUUACAAAAGGGUUAAUUUUGCCGUCAAAAAAGGUUUAGCGACCAACCCGUUGCUCAAUUUUUUUUUUCUUGUGUAAUUUUAUACCAUAGUAUAUAGUUUUGAAAAUUUGAUUUUUUUUUUAUAUGAAUUGAACACCGUUAAUAUUUUUAAACAAUGUUGUUAAAAAAUGUACUGCAAACGAUAAUCCUUUCGGUAUUGGCAACACAUUUUUACCCUAAACCUUGAGGCAAUGAGUUCUCUCACUUAUAAAGUUCUCAACCUUCACUUUUCUAUUCGAUGUGGGACAUAUAACUCACACACUCUUGAAACGGUUGAGCAAUCUAUCCAAGAGGCUGCUCCACCACUAGAUAAGUACAAUACCUCUUUUCACAUGUCAUUACUUAAUGUAAUUGAUGAAAUUGUAAGGCCAUACGUCAAUGAGCAGCGUCCAAGUUUGGAAGGAGUCACAAAAACUAUACCUUUGAAAGCAAACAAUAGCGAUAUCAUUAAUACAUGCGAGAUUAUUGUGCAAGCUCCUCCUGAUUUUGAAUCAAAUAUGACUAAUAUUCUUGCGCACUCUGAAGAUCUGGUUGAUCCAAACCUUCAUAAAGAACUGGAUCUUGUUCAACACAUGUUGAUUCAAGGUAAAUACGUUGACGUCUCUAUUACGCCUUAUCUAAUGAAGAAGUAGAAAAAACAACUCAGCAAACACAAUUCCUAUAACUCUAAUAUUAGUUACAAUCCAAUGAUAUAUCAUGGUAUAGCUAGCUAGGCCUCCUCCGCCCCUAAGUAUAUAAGCAUUUCACCACUCAGUGAAAAAACUGUUCCAAAUAUAAGUUCUUAAUUUUAAAAUAUGAAAGUCAAUAUUGGAUGAACACGUCUAUAAACAAUAAUUUAAUAAUAAUUACAUACCUUGUCAAAAAAAUAUAUAUAUAUAUAUUACAUACAAAAUCUAUUUAGGUUGGUAUGGUAGUAUUGACUUGGGAUCUGAAAAUGUGCUUCUCUUCAAGGUCAGGUAGAUUCUACUCGGUGUUAACUUCAAAAAAAAAAAAUUACAUACAAAAAUUACAUAUUGCCUUCACUAUCAACCUUUUUUAAUAUAUAUAUAUAUAUAUAUAUAUGUGUAGUAAAAUAUAGCAUUAAUGUUUAUAAAAAAAUAAAUAAAAAGAGAUGGAAAGAAUGUUUAGUAAAAACAAUAAUGUCAAUUUUUUUUAGGUGUGGAAGUUAGUCAAUUUUAACACACAAAAAACUAAUUUAUAUGAACGGAAUGAAGUUCCCUUACUUGUCGUCCUUGCAGGGCAUUUUUAUUUUUAUUAUAGAAAAUCAAUUCCUCGUGGAACGCAUGGCAUUAUUUUACCCUAGUUUACAUUCAUUUUGAUCAAGUCUCAUAAUUUAUUUAUUUUUUGGAAAAAAUUCCAUGGACACAAACUACAAACACAAGUUUUAAGCAAACUUACAUAAAGUCAAAACUAUUUUUUUGUUACUACAAGUUUAGGUGAGUUGAGAAAUAUAAGGGUUCAUCGAAGUUAAUCAUGAAGGUUCAACGAGCGUUAUAAAGGUAUUUCCAGAUCACCCAUCAAAUUAGUCUAAUGCUUGUAGAGUAGAGGGAGUUGAAAUCAUAAUUUUACGUCAAGAAAACUUACGUAGUCACAAACACAAAUAUAAUUAGACACACACAUAAAUUGAAAAAAUUAAAAAAGAAAAUAAUUGAAUGAUGUGAUUAAAUUAUUUCUUAUUUAUUUUUCUACAUUUAUGUGAAUGUGGCUAAACAUUUUUCAUUUCUAUUUUGUGUUUAAGUAAGACUUGCUCACUUUAAUUAUGACUAAACUCCUUACCAACUAAACAUGGUACCGUUUGACCAGACUUUUUUUCGGUCUAAAAACUACUUUAAAACAAAGUUAAAAUAAAGCUCUUUAAGAAAAAAGUUAAAGCUGUUUGGUUUCUUUAUUUUUUUUAAUUCUAAAGUUAUUUUUAAGUUAAAAGUUGUUUGGCAAAAUAUUGUACAAAACUUUGAAUUUUUUUUUUUUUUUUGUGGUGUUCGGGGUUCGAACCCGCGAUCUUGCAUAUAUUUAUACAUUGUCUAUAUCAACUGAGCUAAGCUAGAGAAUAGUUUGUUUUUUCUUUUCCAAUUAUACUGUAUAACAAAUUUUGUUAUAAGAAUAUCAUAUUUUUGGUAUCAUUUAAAAAGAUAAGAAUUUAUAUUAUAUGAUAUUAUAUUUUGUUACAUUGUUGUUGUCAUUGAAAAAGAUAUGUUUAGUUUUUUUUUUUUUAUAAGAAAAAGAUAUAUAAAUGUGUAAAAUAUAUAUAAGUAUAAUUUUUUUAGGCAUCUAUACUAGUACUUUUAAUUAAAAUCAAAAUUAUAGACAUUAGCGUAACAAGAAAAACAGACAUACAAACAUAAAAUAUUACUCUAAACGCUAAUGCGUGUGUGUAUAUUUGUGAGGUUGAAGAAAGGGAAUAAAAAUAUUUGAUGUCAUUCAAUGACAACAUGAAUAAAAAUAUUUGUGAAGUUGUGAUAAUUAAACGAUAUUAAAAUUAAAUAUAUAAGUGAUAAAAAGAUAAUAAAAGAUUAAUUAAAACAUUGAACGACCAUUUUAGUUAUUUUUAAAAUAAUUAAAGAUUAAUUAAAAGGUAAAAUUACCAUUUUGUGAGUUUGCAAGGAACUUAUUAUACUUUCAUUUCCUUUUACCCUUGUCUAUUAUUCAUUCUUCAACCACCACCACAUAUCAUCACCUCUCCUGGCUAUAUAUUAAGCUCUUGCCCAUCAUUUGUUGCAAUUAGCUAACCCAUCUUUUAUUUUUUCACUCACUUGUUUCCAAUUUUCCCCAAAAAAUUCCCUCCUUAUUUUUCUUUCUCUAUAAACCUCUUGUUUAGAAACACACGCAGAGAGAUGAAGAAGAAGAGAAAGAAGAAGAUUACACCUACCAAGUAAUAUAUAUUUUAUUUUCUUUUUAAUUCCUCUUGUUGAUCUGUUUUAGUUUAUCACUUCUUAUUUCAUUCUUCUCAUGAACAUUAAGAUUCUAGCAUAAAUACAUGUUGGAAUAAUUGAUUAAUUAAUUAAUUUGAUUAGCAUAACUAAGAUCUAGCCUCCAUGAGUCAUCAUAAUUAAUAUAUUAAUUAUUAACAACAACCUUAAUCAUUACAAUUUGUGAUAUCAUUACCAAUAACAUACUACAACACAUCCCCGUAAUUUAAUUUGUUAAGAAACCAAAGUGAGAAACACAACAUGAUGAUAAAUAGAACAGAAUGGAAGAGGACAAAUACUAAAGAACAGUAGCAAACAAGGACCUCCUGUGCUGUGGAUUUUUAUGAUCAAAUUCAAAGCCAUAAUCACCAUUGUUGUCUCAAGUUAAUUAAAGUUUCUUACAAAAGAUUCCAUUUCAAUUUUAGGUACCAAAAUGUGCCCUAAAUUUAAAAGUAAAAUUUCAAAUAAAUUGACAUCUUAGCUACCCUACCAUUCAAUUUCAAUCUACAUUAAUAGCUUGUGGAAGGCCUUUUAAGUCUGAGUUACUAAACAAGUCUUAAUAUUGCAUUGAACUUCUUUUUUUUUUUUUUUUUUUACAAAUUAAUGUUGCAUUGAACUUUGUUUAUAUCAUUAUGUACUUAAUCAUAUGAAACAUUUAAUCAUUUUGAUUUAUAUACUGUGAGUCUGUUAUUACUAUUUGGUCCACAGUUUAUUGUUUUAGGGGAUCACGGUGUAAGUAUAUAUGUCACAUGAAGUCAUGUUUUUGUUUGCCUUCAAUUGUAUACUGUUAUUAUUUGUCCUAUAACAACAAUGGUUUUUGCUUGAUUUCAGUGCUGUUUUCUACAUAUUGUUUGGUCUUAGCACAAAUCUACGGCAUAAUACCCACAUGCAUUAUUACUAAGGGAUUCCAUGUGGGUCAAGUAAGUAGAAUUUUUAUUUGUUACUUGUUUUUCUUUUUCAUUUGAUAAAAAAAACUUUUUAGUUCAAUUUUCUGCAUCCCCGCCAUACUUUCGGCUCUCAUUACAAGUUUCAACUAGUGAAGUCCGCAUACUUCAAACAUGUAAUUAAUAUUAUUAUAAUUAAGGGUUAAUACCACUUUUGGUCCCUGUAAUAUUAAUAUUAGCGAAUUCUAGUUUUAGUUCCUGUAAAAAAAAAGUUUAAAUUAUGUCCGUGUCAUUUUAAAUUCUUCCACUUUUAGUCCCUCAAUUGAACACAUCAGCAGAAUCUGCUGACGUGUAAUUGAUGAUCGUGUAAUUUUAAUAUUUUUUAAUCCACAUGAUAUUUAUAAUUAUUUUCAUUAUUUAAAAUUCUAAAACAUAAAACAUAAAUUAAAAAACACAAAUAUUUUCAUUCCCUCAUCUCUCUCUGCGAUCUAUCUUCCCCCUCCUCCGACCACCAUCUCGGCCGCCGUCCAUCACAUCAUUGAAGCGCACCACCCUCGUUCUCCCUCUCCUUCUACACCCUCCACUGUCAUCUCUUUGUCCCUUUUCCACAUCUCUCCCCUCCAUCCUAAUCUCUCCCUCAUCAAUCAAUCACCACCACACCCUUCCUCCUCAAUCACCACCACCAUCCUCGUCGCCACCACCAUCUCACUUUAAUUCUAAAUCGUAAUUUUCUUUUAAAUUUUCUGGUGUUUUGAUUUGAAAGCCCCUAACCUUAUAAGUUUGCAUCAGAUUUGUUUAUACAAUUAAUUCAGAUGCAUUUGUCAAUUUGUUUCUCAAAACUUCAGAUCUGAAAUCUAAAAUUUAAGUUGGGGUUUCAUUUGACUUGUGGUGUUAAUUGAUUUAGGAGUUCAAUUUGAUGUAGGGUUUUGCAUUGAAGAAGAAUAAGAAAGAGAAUGUUUAAAAUGGGAUGGGUUGAAACAAGAAAAUGUGAAACAUAGAAAUAGAUGAAGAAGGAGAUCAAGAGGGUUAGUAAAUUUUUUUUUGUUGAAGAUGAAGAGUGUUUGGAACGAAAAAAAGCAGAUGAAGAGGGUCUGUUAUUUUGUUUCAAUUUUUAUAUUUUUCUACUUUAACAAUGUUUUAAAGUUUUUUUUUAAUAAGUAUAAAUCAUAUCCCUCAAAAAUGAAAUAAUUAUAAAUCAUAGAAAAGCCACAUGAAAAUAAAUUUAAUAAAAAAAAUAAAAGAAUUACACAGUCAUCAUGACAUGUCAGCAGAUUCCGCUGAUGUGUUUUAUUGAGGGACUAAAAGUGGAAGAAUCUAAAAUUACAGGGACAGAAUCUAAACUUUUUUUUUACAGGGACUAAAACCGAAAUUCGCUAAUAUUACAGGGACCAAAAGUAGUAUUAACCCUAUAAUUAAUUCUGAUAUAGUUCUUUUGUGAAUAAGUUUUUUUUUUUAAAAUGGAAAAUAAUGUUUAUGAAGUGAUUAGUAAAAUAAUACAAGUGUUGAUGUAUAGACUUAUGCGAAAGUAAGGAGUGGGUCAAUAACUAUUACAGCACCAACUUUAGAUCUCUACUUGAUCUAAUGGCUGGUAGUAUACUUUGGUACACCCACGUAACAAUGAAGAACAUGAAUAUCUACCAAUAUCCCAUUGAAAAACUGAGGGUGCAGCCGGUAGGCCUAAUUGUCGCUUUUGCUGUGAUGGCCACACUUGGUGAGUCAUAUUGACUUAAACUAUAUUACAAGCUUCUAUGGUCUUCAUUCUUUUGAUUGAUUUAUAUCAUUAUUUUGUCAUUUUCCUUUCAAACGAAAGGUUUCUGAAAUCAUAUUACAUUGUUGGGCUUGUAUUUUAAUAUAGUUGCACAUAUGCACCUUAUGAUUAUGGUUAUAAAUUUUCAAGAAAACAUUCAGCUUUACGCUUAAGAUUGAAGAAUCUGUUUAUUUAUUCUUUAGGCCAUAAAUCAAAAGAUCCUAUUUUGAGAAAUGAGGUAUGGUUAUUUAAUUGAUCCAAGAAUGAAUAUACCAACAAUGGAUUUGUCCAAUAGUAAAAGACUUAAAAAAAUCUGGUAUGGUUAGACUCCUUAAACAUGUGGUCAUGAGUUUGAUUUUGACUCAUGCUUAUAAAAAAAUCUGGUUGAAUGGAGAGAACCGACCUGCAUGCUGGUUUAUCAUAACCAUUCUUGCGUUUUAGUGAAUAUUCUUAUUUUAGGAAGGGUUUGAUUCCGACUCAUGCCUAAGAAAAAAUUUGGUUGGACGGGGAAACUCCACCUCCCCACUGGUUUGUAAGUAAGAUACGAUCAGCUUUUACUGUUUAGUCCAAAGCAUUAACUUUUAUUAUUUCAAAAAGUUUAUUUAUAUUUUUUAAAAUUUUUGAAAAUUAAUUUCCAUAUUUUUAAAUUUAUUAUUUAUUUUUAUAUGUUUAUUUUAAUUUCAAAAUAUAUUUUUUGUUUUUAAAAAAUGAUUUUAAAAUAAUAAAAUUACAAAAUCUAGUGAUGAGGGAGUAUGGUAAGGAUGUGUUCUUGGUUUGAUCUAAUGGUUAAAAACUAACUUUCCCAUGGUGGGAAAAAUUAGCCUUUCCCAUACUAAACUUCACCUAGAAUAUGAGUUGAAAAUAUAGUGUUAGUAACUAUAAAUACCCACUCAUACACAACAGCAAAAGUAGCAUAACGUAAGCAAUAGAGAGAGAUAGUUAGUUAGUUAUCCAUCGAACUAAAAAGAAGUGACCCCAUCACAAACUGUAAUUCUCAAUCAUUUGCAAAUCCAAACUCAUGGCAUAGUACUUAGUAGCAUACCUUAUUACCACCUUCCAAAACUUCAAUCAUGCUGGCAUGAAAAGUACCAGUUUUCCAUUCAUAUAUAUAUAUGUAUUUUUUUUCUUUUUUAUUUCUUUUUCUUAGUUAAAUAAUUCUGGAUUUCCAAAUAUCGAAACUGAAAGAGUUGACUAUGAAUUUGAGCUGUAUUUUUUGUUUUUCAUAAUAAGACUUUAUUGAGCUGUACAUUUUAAAAAUAAAAUAAAAAGAAAAAAAUAUCGUCAUUUAGCACACUGAAAUCAUGUUUUUCCCUCCUAGCUUAUUGUCUUUCUAUGCUUAAACACUUCAAAACCAAUGUCCAAUACACACUUAUGUCGACAUUUUACGACAUUGUAUAGUCUAAUAAAAUAAAUAACAAGCCAUAUGAACGGAAACAAAUUCCAUCUUUGUUGCUGUCAGUAUGUGCAUAUUAUAAUGUAACAUGGAAAUAUCAGAUUAAAUAUUCAAUCACAAUUUUGAAAACCUACAAAUUCAACUAACAAAAUAUCCAUAUAAACUCAUCUUUGUUAUUGUCAUUAAGUGCAUAUCCUCUUAAAUCUGAAUUUCUAACCAUUGAAAUGGGAUUCAAACUCUUUGUUCUUUCGAUCUUCAUUCUCUUUAUAGUCCCAACUCUAAUAGCUGCAGAGUGCACAUGUGACGAAGAAGAUGAAGAAAGGGACAGAUCAAAAGCUCUACGCUACAAAAUAGCGGCUUUAGUGUCAAUAUUAGUUGCAAGUGCAAUUGGUGUUUGUCUCCCACUUCUUGGGAAAGUGAUACCGGCAUUAAGCCCUGAAAAAGAUAUAUUUUUUAUCAUCAAAGCAUUUGCUGCCGGUGUGAUACUGUCCACCGGUUUCAUUCAUGUGCUUCCUGAUGCUUUUGAGAAUCUUACUUCUCCAUGUUUAAACGAACAUCCUUGGGGUGAUUUUCCCUUCACUGGUUUUGUAGCUAUGUGCACCGCUAUGGGGACUCUUAUGGUUGAUACUUAUGCAACCGCUUAUUUUCAGAACCAUUAUUCUAAAAGGGCACCGGCACAGGUUGAAAGUCAGACAACCCCAGACGUGGAGAAUGAAGAACAUACACAUGUUCAUGCUCACGCAUCACAUAGUCAUGCACAUGGUCAUAUUUCUUUCGAUCAGUCAUCAGAACUUCUUCGUCAUAGGGUCAUAUCACAGGUAAUAAUAAUAUAAAUUUAAUCAUAUAAAGAUAUUUGUGCAUGAGAUGUGAAUAUGAUUUUUUGAUUUUAUCAUAGGUGUUGGAGUUGGGAAUUAUUGUUCACUCUGUUAUCAUAGGAAUUUCUUUAGGUGCUUCAGAGAGUCCUAAAACCAUAAGACCAUUAGUGGCUGCGUUGACUUUUCAUCAGUUCUUUGAAGGCAUGGGACUUGGAAGUUGUAUAACUCAGGUAUAUCAUAUUACAUAUAUAUCAUUCAACUAGUGUGAAUGAAUUAUAAUCAAGUUAUCUCUGACCGUUCAUGGGGACCAUGAGUUCGAUUUGGUUGAUGUGAAUUGUGAAAUAUUAACUAUGGAUUAGGAUUUUUCAAAUAUAAGUGCGGUGAACUAUUGGUCACACUUGAAUCUAAUAUAAAGAUAAGAUAAUUUAUGAUUAUUCUUAUAUAUGUUGAUUUUUCACUAGACAUCUUGAUCCUUUCAAGUGUUUUGUGGCCAAUGUAUUUGUUUGUUUGGUGCCCUUGUUUGUUGUAAUAUGUUCAAAAGAUGUCAAAUUAAAUGCAUGAUCGUUUAUCCAAAAAUAUUAUGUAAUGAAACAUCGUCUUUUCAUUACUUUUUUUUUGGUGGUACACUUCUUUUUUAGUAUGCAUUCUUUGCUCUAAUUUCUUAAUUAAUCGGUGAAGGAUUGCUUUAUGCAUAAACAAUUUCACAUAUCAUCAUUAUUUGUAUUAAACUUUAAGUUUUUUAAUAUAAAAUAUAGAAAUCAUGAAAAUUGUAUCUUCAACAUAAACUAUAAAAAUGUCCGUGAGAAAUUCAAUAAUCACCUUCAACCGAAUCUCCAUAAACAAAUAAAAAAAUUCAACUAACAAUGUUAAACUUUUCUAUAACAUUUAGUUAAUGUUUGAUUAUGCAAAACUAAUUUCUAUAAGUUAUGUGUUUGUUACAUUUCAAGAGAUUGUGCACCUUAAUUGAAUGUAAAACAAGAAAACAUCAACCAGCAGCAUUGUUUUUGACUUAUUGAAAGUGCAACCAUUGCAGGCAAAUUUCAAGAGUCUAUCAAUUACUAUUAUGGGAUUGUUCUUUGCUUUGACAACUCCAGUAGGAAUUGGAAUUGGCUUAGGGAUCAGCAAUGUUUAUGAUGAGAACAGUCCAACUGCUCUUAUUUUUGAAGGAAUCUUCAAUGCAGCUUCAGCUGGGAUCUUAAUCUAUAUGGCACUUGUAGAUCUUCUUGCUGCUGAUUUUAUGAAUCCAAGGAUGCAAAAGAAUGGUAGGCUUCAAUUAGGAUCCAAUAUAUCUCUUCUACUAGGAGCUGGUUGUAUGUCUCUUAUAGCCAAAUGGGCUUAGCUAGGUGUUUGUUUGAGUAUUCUUAAUUUUCAUUUCCUUCCAAAUUGUUCAUUUGAAGUCCUUGAUAAUUUCCAAAUAUGCCUAUAACAAUAGACCUACUAUCGAAGACGACGUGAAUAUACAGUUUCACAUGACAUUCAGCUUGAACUGGUUUAUGUUUAUCAAUUCUGGCAUUUUGGUGGACUAUUUGGGAUUUGAGAAAUGAGUGAUCUCAUUUGAUAAGUCUGAUUUCUGUGUUAUUUUGGGUUGGAUUAUGAUAUUGUCCAUCUUGACUUGAUUAAAGCUGGACCGAUGUCUAUAUUAUGAGUGGUGUGUUGAAUCUCUAUGUUGUAUUCGAAGAGCCUAGUCGCUUCGCCUUGCUGGUUUUGGCAAGGGCUUGGUUCUGGUCUUGUGCUUCUUUUCCUGCGUGAUUAUAGUACUCAUUGUACUUUCAUCAUAAUAUAUUUUAAAUUUUUUGAUUUGUUUGUUCAAAAGUUUACAUCCAGGAAGAUUGAUAGGGUUAGCAAAAUUACCGUUCUCAAUAAGUAUAUGAUUAUAUAACUUGGCUUUGUUUAUUCUAUAUCAACGUUGUUUUUUCGUCUUGCAAAGGUUCUCUCAACAUUAUUGAUGAAUAAUUCACUAAAAUGUAAGUUAUGUAACGAUUGUUAUAUCAUUCUAAACUCUGAAUGUGCUAUCACAUUCAUACCAUCAGAAUAUAACAUGUAUAAUAUUCAUCGAAAGAUAUUGAAUUACAUUAUUUGACAUUUAAAGUCAUUUGUUAUUUUUUGAUUUCAUCAAAAAAUCAAUGGUGAACACUCUAGUAUUUAUAGAGUUUGUUUGGGUAUAUGUACCUCAUCCAAUUAUUAAAAUAAAUUUAUCAAUUUUUUGUUUUGAGAAUUAUUGAAUAUGAAUCCUUUUUACCUAAUAGUUUAAAAGUAAAAUAUGCAUUUCGUUAGUAAUAUAGUUUUUCUUGAAUAUCAUUUAGAUGAAAAAUUCAUGAAUAUCUUCUAGAUAUAAAUUUUAAAAAAUUAUAAUAUACUAAUUAUAAUUUAUUAUAAAAAGUAUACAUAAGACCCUUAAAAAAUGUACAUAAGACAAAUUUUUAUGACUGGUCAGUUAAUAUAAAUUUUUUAACAAACUAUGUCGAGUAGCGUUUAAACCUACAAAUUGCUUAUCACUUUUUUUUGAGGGAAAAUUGCUUAUCACUCUUUAUCUCAAUUUUAAUCAUAUUAGUUUAAAUAGUAGAAAUCAAUUUUUCAUAUCGGUAUCCACUAAUUUAUCCACUUAUACUUUUUAAGAAAAUAGAGUCUAUUCUCUCCAAAAAUAAAAUAAAAUAAAGUAGAGUUUAUAUUAUUUUGUUGAGGUUGGAUUAACAUAAAGAAAAUGUAAGGAAAAGUGGUGUUUCCUGUGUCUGUUUAGAGCUUCUCAUAUAUGCACGUCCAAAAUCCAAAUUAAAUGACACCACAUGAUACUUGAGAGUUGGCACACAUGUAAUGUAAUAGUGUGGGACAUACAUUAAAAAUAGGUUUAAACGCACUCUCCUAUCCUCUAAGUUUGCAAAAGUUGCAAUUUUAGCCCCCAAUUAAAAAAAAUGGUAAAGGUGACCCCCUAUAUCUACCCAUUUUGUAAAACGCAAUUUGGAUUUGGUCAUGCCUGCAUGGCAUGCCACAUGUGUAAUUAGUUAUUUAAAGAAAAAUAAAAAUGUCAUGCAUGUAUAUAUGAAAUUAAAAAUAAAAAUAAAAAAUAAAAAAAGCAAGAGGGAGAACCAAGCACAGGAAUAACAGCAACUACAUUAUCAUUCAUCUCCAUUCAAAUAAUAUGUUCAUGGUAUCAUUCUCAAAAUUUUCAUUACAUUUCUUUUUCAAUAAUUAGGAAAUUCUAUAACAUUUGCCCUUUUUCUUUCUUCAACAGCGAGAAACCAUAAGCAACUUUUUCUUCUUUUUUUGUCAUAUAUUUUCCUUCCCAAUCGCAUCUAUUGCAACAAUUAAUUCAAGUUCUCAUCAACAAGAUGAAAACCACCAACAACAACAUCACGUUUUUUAGAAAACAAAAUUUGUAUUCAAUCCCUAUCAAAUACAUCUCCCAAAAACUUAAUCCAUCUAUCAUUUUCCUCCUCUUACCCGGUUCAAUUGUCCAACUAAACAACAACAACACUGACAUUCUCACUCUUCUCGUUCCUGACUUUUCUCUCUCUCCCUGAUCUAGUUGUGGCGAAACAUGGUGGAAAUGAUGGUUGUUGUAGGAGGUCGUAAGUGAUGGUGGUUGUCAGAUCUGAGAGUAUCACAGGUGGUGGUGGUUGUGACCAAUGGUUGUCAGAACUGAGACUCAUCUCUCUCAAGCAGUAGUGGAUGUAGAGAGAUACGGUGGUGGAGAGGACGGUGAUGAGAGUGGUUUUGGUGGGUGAGAGAUGAAUCUGAGAAGGUUGGUAUGGUGGUGGUGGUGCUGUAAACAUAGAUUAGAGACGAUCUUGUGGUGGUGAUAGGAGAAUAGCGGCGGCGGUGGUGGUGGUGUGAUAAGUGCUUAUUGAUCAUUUAAUAUAUGGUUCUAGCUAUUUAUUCAAUAUUGUUGUUAUUCUUGCAUUUAAUGUUUUAUUGAGAUUCAAAAUGAUAUGGACACAUAUUUUUGAAUCUAGAAAUAGAAUAACAAUCUAUCUUAAGUUAUCACUCUAGACAUGGAUGUUGAUAUUUGAUAAUCACUUUUAAUCUAUAUGAUUUAAUGCUUUUGGGUAAUUUAAUCGGUUGGGAAAUCGUCGAUAAAACUAUCCAAUCGACUUUGUGAUCGUUUAAAUGUUUGGAAAAACGAUGUUUAAACGAUCCCUUAGAAAUAACGAUAUCAUUUGGACACGGAUGAUAUUGUCGAGUGAUUGUGAUAAUAUCGUUUAAAAAGUUAGGAUCCGUUAAUCGAUCGAGAGAUUGCAGCUGUUACGCUUGGUUGAUGUCUCUGACCGCAAGCGAAAUAGCCCUAUCUCUUCUCAUUUUACUUUUAUGUCGAUUAGGAAAAUAGUUUUACGCAAACAAACAAUUUAUACCCAAACACUUAACAUGACAAAUAUUGUGAAAAUGCUUAUGAAAUAUGUAACUCCCUGUGGACUCGAUCAUAUUAUACUUACGUGUAAAUAGUUUUAUGAGAUGUAAAAAUCUUACAUCAUGGUGGUGAACAAGAUCGGAGAUGAAGGUUGAGGUGGUGUGGUGAUGUAAUAUUCUGCAUUUUUUAAAAAGAAAUGGAUGAAAAAGAUGAAGAAUUAGGUGAAGAAGAUGAAUGUUAAUCUCUUCAAUUAAUCCUUUCAUUUUUCAUUUUUUUUAAUUCUAUAAAUACACAUGUGGCCUUUUUCAUUUUUUUUAAUUAAAAAAAUACACAGUUGGCAAUUUUUAAGUUAAGUGGCAUGACACAUAGGUUUGACCAAGUCAAAAUUGGUGUUUUGCAAAAGGGGUUAAACAUGAGGGGGGAACUUUUGCCAUUUUUUUUAACAGGGGCCAAAAUUGCAACUUUUGCAAACUUAGGAGGUAAAAAGUGUGUUUAAGCCUUAAAAAUAUUGUCGUCGAUUGAUAUAAUAUUUGCUUCUCAUCUACAAUGUGUUCAGUUUGAUUGAUCAAAAUCCACCCUAAUUUUCUUGAUUAAUCAGGUGGAUGAGGGUGAUAGAGUUUCAAUUUUGUUAGUAUCAUAAUUUUGUUUUUUUGAUACGUGUAUGUCGUUGUUGUUGGAAACUUUGAAUGUGUGUUUUGGAAUUGAAUAUUGCUUAGCUAUAAGCAUUUCUCUAGACAAACAUUUCACAUCUCACGUGAUAAAAUAUGGAGUUAUUUUGGUUUUAUAAAUUAAAUAUGUUGUCUUCAUUUUGACAGAAUUUCAUUGAUUAAUAUGUAGUGAUUUUGAUAUGGAUUUGGGUGUUGCAUGAAUCUUCAACGCGGCAUUUACAUGAAUAUUGAUUUUUUGGAUAGUAAUUUUUUGUCUCCGAGGUUGCAGACGAGUAGGAGACUGCGAUUAGAAUGCAAUUUAUUUAUGUCUAUAGCAGGUAGGAGCUAAUUGUAUGUCCAUUCCAGAUAAAUGGGAUUUGGUUAAGCUUUUUUUAUGUGAUAAUGACCAAUUUUUUAUUUAUUACCGAUUUGUUUUUGGAUCCUAUAUGAUGAAUGAAACAGUGUAUGUACUAUUUUAUGGUUAUGUUAAUCUCAACAUAGGGUUGCUAGAAAUUAUAUACUAAUCAACUAAAGCUUUUAAGUUGAAUAAUAUCCAUUAUAAAUGGGAGUGGAGUUUUUGUAUAGGGGAUCAUGAAGCAAUCUGUGCAAACUACAGAUUAUAAGCUUAACUCAUUGGUAUUGAACCAAACAGAUUAUGCAAAGAUGAAUGUGUGAGGAUACUUGAUCAGGCAAGAGGUUUCUAGGAUAGAUCAUGUUACAAAGAUAAAUUCUGCAGCAAAUAAACAUGUAAUGGAAGGAGAUUUAUAUGAAAUAUGAACGCGACCCAUUUCCCUCAAUCAUAUAUGUAUUGUUGAAUCUGGAUCAUCAAGGUGCUCUAUCAAAACAAUCAACAAAGGUAGUUUCUCCUUUGGAUUAUUGGGGGAAGAUUGCUUGUUGGUAUAAGAACAUGACCAACACCAACAUUGGUCAUGUUGUAUAUGACAUGAUGCACCCCCAAAAUAUUGUGUUGGUGAAAAUUUUCAAUGACAUUUCGUUUAUCUUAUUAAUAAACAUAACUAAACGUUUUCAAUAUUCUCAUACAUAUACUUGAACUUAACAACAAAAAGAGAUAAACGUGGGAAUAGACAGAGUGCUUUGGUUAUUGAUCGAAUACCAAUAUUACAAUAUUUAAAAAUCUCCAUCUUUGAAAGACAUUGGUAGCAUCACAUGAGCAAUGGGGUCUCUCUUCACCUUCCAUUUCUUGAACUGUUUUGAAGCAGCUUUCAAUGCCCUGCCCCAUCUCUGUAUCAAAUAGCACCCACAACCACAAGUUAUCACCAAUAAUUACUUCAAUUUCAACAUUUUACUAAGCUAAUCAAUUCAAUUAAUCUACAUAAAAAUCUCAACAAUAGUAAAGUGACCAAAAAGUUUUCAAGGCUCUAAAUACUUAUUACAAACUAUCACUGUGUGUUAAAAAAAAAAAAUAAAAUAAAAUAAAAUUUUGAUGAAUACCCAUUUUCAUAAACCAGAACACAAAAUAAAAGAUAUGCUUAAAAAACAUAAACCAAUUGAUAAAUAAAUGUAAUAACAUAAAAAGUAACAAAUAAGUUAAAAAGAAAUACCUUAUUAUUGAUGAUGGGGUUACAAGCACAUUUGAUCCUUGAAGGUGUUGGAGAGAAAUCAGAAGCAAUCUUCUUGUUCUUAAUGAAACCAAAUUUGAGAUUGAAGGAAUUAGAAGUGAACUUCUUCCUAAGCUUAGAACCAACCUUGUUGACACUGCAUCUAGCUCCUAAGGCAAUGUCAUAGGAAAGUUUCUUUGGAGUAAUGAGAUCCAAAUCCAUGGGAGAGUAGGGUCUUGGAACCAAAGGGGACCAGAUUGUGCUUUGAGAGUAGUCAAAAUCAUAAGCAGAGUUAUCUGGGAAUUUGCAGAGAAGCUCUAGUGACAUGAAUGGUUCUAAAUAUUCAACAACUUUUGUAGUGUUCAGUAACAAUGGUUGUUGUUGUUGUUGUUGUUCUGCUUCUUCUACAGAUUUCAUUGCUGAAUCAAAGUGUUACUGUUUGGUUAGUUACUUUCUUUGUUUUCUUCAAAAGCUUUGGUUUGGUUGGAUUUGUUUUGCAUUGUAAUCCAAUAAAGGAGGAGAGAGAAAUAAACGACAAAAAAAGGAGCCGUUGUAUGUCAUGUCACAACUUAUUUUAUAUAAAUAAAAGUAGCAAACAAAUAAAUAAAGGAUAUUAUUACUUCCAUCAACGUUUAAUACCAAUAUUACAUAUAAAAUACCCUCUACGUUCUUUUUUAUAAAAAGUAAUUAGACUAAUUUUUGUCCCAAUUAUAAAAAGGAAACUUCUACGAAUUGAGGUGCACUGAUACACUCAAAUUUUUGGAUGUAACAUAGAAUUUGCUUUAUAAAAAAAUAUAAUAUAUAAAAACAUUUUCAACAAAUCAGAGAACUGUGAGAAACAUGGGUGGAGAAAGAGUCCCAUUUUCAUGGUAUGUAUCCUUGAGAAAGUCCAAUAGCAUGAAUGCUAAAACAAGUUAAUUAAUCCGCUUGUUUUCGGUAGUUGUUUCUUUCAUAGCUACUCGAAAUUAAAACCAUUUGAUUUUUUUUUAUUAUUAAAAAGUUUAUGUGAGUUAGAUCUUGAAUUAACUAGAACUGAUAUAGACUUUAAGGUUCAAAAAAUUGUUGAUAAAAUAUUAGAGAUUAUCCACCAACAAGGUCAUUACAAGAAUUGAAGAUUUACCCUUGUUUUUUGAAGUGCGUAUUCAAAUUGAAUAAAUUAUUUAAAAGCACUAGAGCACGUAAAUUUUCUAAUUUUCACAGACAUGUAUGGCAUAAGUGAUAAACACUUGAGCCCAUUAACCAUUUGUUUUUGGCUUCAGUUCCUAACUCGGAUGCAUGGAAAAACAUACGUCUGCACGCGCGAGAAUAUCUUGGUUUACCAAAAUAUACUACUACUUUUCUGUGUGAAAUGACUAUAUUUGAACCGAUUCCUAAUCACCUAAGAUUGAGCACAUAAAAUGCCGUUAAAAAAAAUUAAGUACAUAUAAAUAUGACCAUAGAUCUAUCUCAUAUAGUUCUUUGAGUGCAUAGCAAGCAAAACGAAAGUGCAUGUCCAAGCAAGAAUAUAUUCCUCACAAAAUAAUUGAUGAACUCUAUUUUAUACGUACUAAUAGUAUCCAAAUUCCAAAGAAAUGCAAUGCACCACUUAACCUUUAUCCUUUUAGAAAAUUGUUAGCUUAUAAUUAACAUAUCACAAAGUGACAGCAACAAAUUAAAGCGACAGCAGAAUCAACUUUAGUUUAUAUAUUCAUGCUUUCUCACUUUACGGCUACCAACUAACUAUUUAUAUUACAGUCCAUUUCUCUUACUCUCCAUCAGCAAAAUCUGUGAGGAUAUUUUCAAAUUUCAACCUCUAAUUUUGUGCAUUAGUGUUAAUCCAAUUCCAAUGGAGUCAAGAGCUUACAUCCUUAGAUUCAACAUUGCACAUCUUUGCCUCUUGAUGCUAGUUUCCACUCUUUUCCCUUUGUGUGGUAAACCAUGCAUAUAAAUUAUAUGAUUAUUUCAUAUACUAAUCUAUCUAUGUAACUUCAGUUUAAUUUGUGUAGUAAUUAAUAAAACAUAUGUAACUUUUGUUAAAUUUGCAGAUGCUAUAAAUCAUGGAAGAGGUAGUAGAAGCUACUCCAUCAAAUCAUGGAAGAAACUCAAAUUUUCAUCAUUUGGCUACUCAGACUUAGAUUCUUCAUAUGGUACUCCUUCUUCUCAACCACUUCCACCUUUCAAUUCACUUGCUCCACAACCUACCUCUCUACCACCUUAUUCACCUGUUCCAAACCCACCUCAUGAUGUUUUUAGACCACCACCAAGUCCUAAAACCAUUGUUACAAUGUCGCCGCCGCCACCUCCAAGCCCAUCAAAACAUGUUCCAAGCCCACCUAAAAGUGUUAUAGGCCCACCUCAAGUAUACUUGCCACCUAUUGUUUAUCCACCACCACCUUCAACUCAUAAGAAGCCACCACAAUAUGCUAUUUGGUGUGUGGCAAAGCCUACAGUUCCUGAUCCUAUAAUUCAAGUGGCUAUGGAUUAUGCCUGUGGGUCUGGGGCUGACUGUAAAUCAGUUCAGCCUAAUGGGAUAUGCUUUCAGCCCAACACAGUGUUGGCACAUGCUUCUUAUGCAUUUAAUAGCUAUUGGCAGAACACUAAGAUUGGUGGGGGGACUUGUGAUUUUGGUGGUACUGCUAUGCUUGUCACUGUUGAUCCAAGUAAGUUUGCACUACGUACCAUAUUUGAUUACCUUUGUUAAAGAGAUUAAUUUUCAUAUAUUUCAUUUUUUUUUGUAAGUAAUUUUUCCAUGUAUUUCAUGUUCUACACUGUUAGCACAUUUACAUGUUGAUCUAAUGAUAAAAAAAAAAAAAAAAUUUUGAAUCGGCAAAAUAUUAUAUGUAUGGACCGUAAAAGUUGAUUAUGAUAAAAUUUAAACAGUUGAUUAGGAUAAAUAAUUUAAUUUUUUGGUACAAAUAAUAAAAUAAAUUUUAAUGAAAUUAUAUGACAAAAUUAACACUUCACAUGUUUCAUAUAUAUCGAGAUUCUUUUUUUGUUACAAUGAGAUCCUUUUAUUUAGCUGUUAGUUAAGUCAUUUCACAUCACAUCACAUACUAUAUAUAUCCACACAACAGGCAUAUGCCACUUGAUUUCUUUUAAAUUGGAAUCUAUCCGGGUAGAGAAAACAUGAAUUCAUGACAUCGGUAGCCGGCGUCUGAUUAAAAAUAAAGGUUUUUUUUAAAUUACCUUUAAAGAAUGGUGGGUAAUUUAUCCACCAACCAAUGAAAAUGAGCAAUUUAUUUGUGGAGUCAAGAUAGUUCAUGAAUAUGUGUUUAUGUGGCUAAUGUGUAUUGGUUGGGGUAAAUUACCCAUCAUUCUUUCAUGGGUAGCCUAGUUGCCACCAAAAAUAAAUGGUUCAAAUAAAUAUAUAUUUUAAUUUAUAAUUUAAAAAAAUAUCAAAUUUAAAUAUGAAUGGUUUAAUCUUGAUCAAACAACUAUUGAUGUGCUAUUGUGUGAUGUGUGCUUGAUCCCCUUUCUUCUUUUGAGGUGCAUUCUUCAUUGUCACACUCGGUGGUAUUAGAUUCGCGCACAGUCACUUAAAGCCCACAUUCACCUAUUCAAAACGUUGUUGACUUAUAUGGAUCAAGAUCUAAAGGAAUUUUAAGCUGGUUUUUAAGAUAAAAAACAAAAAUCAAACCUUAAAACCUGCAUUGUUCGAUCUAGAGUCAACGAUCACCGACAUGGUGAAAGUGAAUUUUUGUAACUACAUGGAAUGCAUAUUUCGUAGUCUUUUCAAUUUAGAACUAUGGAUUAUUGCUUCAGACUAACAUUUCCCUCAAAUCCUCGAUUUAUUUGGCAGGUUAUGACAAGUGCAGCUUCAAGUCGACUUAGCUCAUUGCUUGCUAUAAUACAUAGCAUUUGGAGACUUACCAAAUAUUGAAAACUUCUUGUUCCAAUGUAAUUUUUUAUGCAACGAUAAAUUCCCUUACUUAAUUAGAUACAUUAUUUGGAGUUACCUUGAUCAUAGUAUAUUCCGCCCUUGCUUAAUUUUGUGUAGUUCUAUAUAUUUCUAAAAUGGUAGGUUUAAUAUAUAUAUUCAUGACCAUAAUUUGAUAUUUAGAGAUGUAUGUAGCUCUAUUACGUUUCUGGUUCUUUAGUUUAAAACUUAGAUAAGCACCCAUCUUUUGUGUAUUACUAUCAGCGUUAUAAUCCUUGAAAACUUAGAUAAGCACCCAUCUAAAUGCAUAUAAGGUUAAGACAAUACCGACAUCAAAAUGCAGGUUGAAUACAUUAUCCGACUAAAAUCCAUUUCGCUUUCUUCAUGCAUGUGCUCUACAGUUAUCUUCAAUGAAUAAAACAGUAGUUACCUUCAGCCAGCUUGUAAUAUGUUGUCGCACCUGCGAAGCUAAUUUGCAUUCAAAAAAUAAGUGAGAAACAUUUUCCUGCGAAGCUAAUGAAGUGUACGGAAAAAUAAAUAAAAAAUUUACAUUUUAUUAUAACAAAGCAAACAAUUUACUCUAUUGCUUUUUUCUUUAAAAAAAAAUAAAAAAUUUACUUUAUUGUUUCGUGGUGUUUUUUUUAUUCAUUUACUUACUGAUAAAAAACUCAUAUAGACAAAAGAACUGAGUUAAGUGAGAAAAAAAAUGAGAUUAUAGCUAGUAUUGAUAUUUUUACUAAUGUAUUUCGAAAAAUAUUUCAUUCUGUUGGUGUAUAAAAAUUUACAUUAGAAGCAGGGAGGGAACCAUAUUUAACGGUAUAAGAUAGGAAAGAAAAAACAAAUUACUUUACCCAAAAAAAAAAAAAAACAAAUUUUUAUUUGCAAAUAUAAUGCACACAUGAAAUUUAAGAAAUUAUAUGUUACUUCCCUCAUUUCCUUUUUUUAAGUGUUUUUUUAGAAAAUUAACACAAAAAUCACGAAGUGUAUUUUUUGCACAUUUUCUUCCUAGUAUACCCUCAUUUUAAUCCACUAAUAAAUUUCAAUUGUUUUGCAAACACUUUAUCUUUCCAAUAAAUUUAAUAUGUUAUAUUUCUCUCAUUGUGAGUUACUAUUAUCUUUUUCUCCAACAAAUUCCUAUUUUUUUACAUGCACUCUCUCAUAACAAACAAUUGUCAAUUUUCUAAAUAUUGUGUACAUCUUUUCAAUUAUUUUAAGUCAAUAUAAAAAUUAAAUUGAUGAAACUUCUUCUUCUUCAUUGUCAUCUUGUUCUUGUUCUUGUAUCUUGUCGAAUGAGUUUUCAACUAUUGCUCCCUCUUCACAUCUCAUCAUCAAUUUCAACGAGUCUUCCACUUUUUCAUCCUUUUGAGCAUACUACAUGGAGUCUUUUAUUUUUCUUCUCUCAAAUCUUUUAUUUUACUUUGCCCUUGAAAUUUUUAACAAUUGAUACUCAUCUUAGUUAUCGAAUUUUAACUCUUCUUGGAACCAUUGUUUGUAACAAAAUUUUGUUUAAAUUUGAAGAUAACAAGAAACAAACUUUGUUUAAAAAAAAACUGUGUUCCAAAUAGAUAGCAUUAAUUAGUUUUAUUGAAAAAGCUAAAAGUAAUUGGCAAAGGGUAUAAUUGACAAAUCGUAAUUUAAAAUACCAAAAAGACAGUAAAAUAGGAACGGAAAAUUCACCAUAAAAAGACACUUAAAAAUGAACGGAGGAAGUAUAUCCAAAGUUAAUAUGUAUCGAAAAUUGUGUUCAUGUGUAAUUUAUUUGUUGUUUUUUGUUGCCGUUGUUUCUUUAGUGGCACUUUGACUCUGUAAAUACUUGUCGGUGGUUCUCCUUUUGCAUACCUUAUACAGGUUGAACCACUCUGAUUUUAUUAAUAUCUCAUUUUGAUUUGUUAAAAAAAAAUGUAUCUAAAAUUAUAAGAAAUUUCAAAGAUGUUAGAAAAAUGAGUUCCUUGAGGCUUCUUUGAGUGUGACCAAAGAAGAUUUUUUUAAUAGUAGAGAUAGGAAAUAAGAAACAACAAGAAUGUAAAUGUAGGAGAAGAAAUUCAAGAUAAUAUCACAAACAUUAGUAGUGACUGAAAGGGCGCAAACAACACCGCGUGCAAUAUUUCUUACAGUUUGAGUGAAAUUGCAACAAAUAAUCACAAAUUAAUAUUCUAGUUAAGGUUCUUCUAAUUGCAUAAAAAAAAACUCACUUUAUUUCUCAAUUUCUCAAUGUUAUGCAUUCUAGUUAAGGAUUUGUGUUAUUAAAAUUUGAAAGUUAUACAAUGCUAAAUAUACUGAGUAAAAAAAAGUUCAUUAUACAAAAUCAUAUUAAGUUCACAGAAAAUAGUAUAGUGACAAAAAAAUAAAAAUAAUAAUAACAUACUAAUAUGAAGGGAACCAUGGCCUAUGUUAGUCUCCGUUCUAGUUUCAUCCCUGAUUGCAAAGUAUAUCAUAAUGCAAUCUUGUGUAGCUACGAUAAGAAUUAAAUAUUUUCAAUUAUCUACUAAUAGUAAUGAUUAAUUGACAAUGCAAGUACUCUUUACACCUGCAUUGCAUAUGAAUUAGAAGUCACUUUGUUGGCAUAUCACUCCUCAAUCUUGUGAUCCUCCGUUCAAAACUAGCGGUAUGGUAACAAAACCCAUAUAUGUGGGUAUCCGUUUGAACCAAACUUAAAUUGACGGGUUUUUUUUAUUUUAAUUGGGUUUGGGUUUGUCUCGAUUUCAAAAGAUAGAUACGGGACGGGUAACAGGAAUAUAGGUACUCAUCUCAAACCCAUCCUGAAUGUAGAAAAUUAAUUUAUUACCCAUUUUAUAUAAAUAAAAACUCAAACCCUAAAUCAUUUCACUCAUACAAUCAGAGUCUCGGUCUUUCAGAUGACACAAUUAUCAUAGUUCUUUCUUUUCUCCUUCAAUAUUCCACACUCUCAGCCUCUCUCUUCUUCAUCACCAUAGUCAUCGAUCGUCGUCAUCUUUUUACUGAAUAAUGCAUUAGUCAUUACAACUUUGCGCUCGGGGAUAAAAAAUACUUUUAUUUUUAAUAAAAAAAAAUUAUCCACUUCGGGGAUGGGAAUGAGGCGGGGAUGCCCAAACCCGUCGGGGACAUGGAUGAGAUUCGAUUUCUCAUCUCCGCUGAAUAUGGGUAUGGUAACGGGUAAGUAUUUGAAAAUAUGGUAUGAGGACGGGGAAGGUAAAACUCAUCCUCACCCUACCCCAUUGUGAUGCCUAUUCAUGAAGCACAUAUAUUUAGGUAAAUAUUAGAAUAGAAUAACAUUGGAAUGAAAUAAUGACAAAAUUAUCUCUUCACAUGUUUCAUAUUGAGACUCUUUUAUUUACAAUGAGUUCCUUAUUUCGUCGUUAUAGUUUAAGUGAUUUCACAUCACAUACUAUACCCUAACAACAAAGACAUAUUAUGCCACUUGGUUUCGGUACACAUUUCAUUGUCACGCAUCGUCGUCUUAUGGUUGUUGUGCCUUCAAUUUAGUUAAAACUAUGGGCUAUUGCUACAGACUGACAUUUUCCUCAAAAUCAAAACCACCGUUUAUUUGGCAGGUUAUGCAACUUCAUGUUGACUUCCUUCUAUUGAAAACCUCUCUUUCCAACGUAAUUUUUACGUAGCAAUACAUCCCCUUUGCUUAAUUAGUGACAAUAUUUGAAGUUACCCUACCUUGAUCAUCAUCAUCCCUUGCUUAAUUGGUGACGAUAUUGGAAGUAACCUUCAUCAUCUUCUUUGUGGUUUUUCUAGGAAUUCUUUAGGUGUCUUCGAGUUUGGAAGCAUACAAUCAUUUUUGUAAUAAUUAAAAAUUAAAAUUGUUACAAACUUCUAAAACACGGAAGGGUGAUUGAGUUGUCCUCGUGGAGUCAUGUGUCCAAUUGGUUAUAUAUACAAUCAUAUUAUAAUAGUCGUAUAUACGUAAACAUUUUUUAAAAAAAUAUGUACCACACUUUAAAAAUUCACAUAUGCAUUAAUUAAUUUACUUUUAACCUUAUCUUCUAAUAUAUUAUUAUAAAUUAAUUAAUAGUUAUUUUAAGAAAAACCAAUAAACAAUAUAACGCAAACUUGAAACAAAGAGUGAAUCAAGGAGAAUCUACAAAAUAAGUAGAGUAAUGUAUAAUUAAUACAGAAAAAAAAUUAACAAAUAAAAUUUAUCUCACCUUACCAAUGGAGAUUUUAUCUAUUGGAAAUGGUUGAUAUACUUACAAUUAGUUUUCGACACACAUCGAAUAUGAUUAUCUCCAAUUUAUGUGGCGGAAAAACUUAUCACACACGUUAGAAAAAGAAAAAAGUGUUUAUUUUUCUAGUUCCAUGAGUUUCUACAAGGUUUUUUUUACUUCACUAGCUAGUGAUGACUCGCAUGUGAGAUUUGCGAGUGCAACUUAACAUAUGUGAUUUUGAGACCACGAGAGAAGCAUAUAAUUUUUUUUUUUAAAGUACUAUAAAAUAAUAAUAAAAUUUGAACAUAUAUAUGAAAUGUGGUUGUAUCUUUCAGCAUGGAUUAGAACUUUGUUUGUCAUGUUUAUGAGAGUUUAAUCUCUUGCGCUAAAUUCAACCUUAUUGGUGAAUCUAGAUUUUUUUUUUUAUGUAUAUAUGUAUAUAUAUAUAUAUAUGAUGUUUCUAACCUAAUUAAGAGUUAUAUGUUGUAAUAAUAUUAUAUAAUUGUCUUUUUACUCCUUUUCGAUCUUGAGUUAUUUUGGGACGGGAAAAUAUCUUUAUUUUGGUUUUCAUAUAACUAUUCCCCCUUUUUUGUGAAUCCAAAGCAUUGCUUGAAAACUUUUAUUAUCAGCAUUGCUCGAAAGUUGAAACUAUUCCCGCUGGAUUCAAAGUUUUCAACUUCACUAAUUUCUUUGAAAAGAAAAUACUAUAAAACUUCACUGACAUGUUACGUUACAUUUGGAAGCCAGUCAUGUACCGUAAUAAUUGAAGAAAAAAUAUUAUCAGCCGACACUAAAUGCAUAAAAGGUUAAGACAUUACCGAUCCAUGUUUUGUCGUUGAACAAUUAGUCAAAUGUUAAUUGGUUUCAUUCAGAAUUAAGUGUAAAAAAUUUGAUGAUGAUAAUGAAAGAGACUUGAGUGUAUUACCCGACUAAAAUCCAUUUCGCUUUCUUCAUGUGCUCUAGAUCUACAAUUACCUGCUACACAUUCCAAUGGAUAAAUUCUGGUAAUUAUAAAUGUGAUUACUUAAAAUAUAUAUGGUGGCUUCUUAAACUAAAUUAUAUAAAUUGUUAUCGUUAAAAAGCGACUUUUAGAGUUUAUAGCAACAAUCGUAUCUAUUUGUUCACGGGUUUUUGGAUUAAGUUAGAUUUAGGCUAUUGGUCAUUUCAGUCCACUUAUAAAAAUGGAAGGAUGGAUAUUAUUUUAUUAAUUUACACCAUUCGGAGAAUUUCCUUAUUUUGUAUCAAGUCAAAUAAAAAUUAUAGCCUCAACUCUGGCAAAUUAUUUGCAACAUGUUACCCAAUAGUCUACAUUAUAUAUCUAUUAAAAAUCUUAAUAUCUUGUACAAACAUUGUGUAUAAAUCUUUAUUCGAUCAGUUAUAACAAAUUACAUAGACAUAUAGUGUGUUCGAUCGAGAAAAAUAAAUAAAAGAUUGGACAUGAUAACUACAUUUAUACUAUGUGAUUGUAAAACUACAUCAGGAACUAGAUAAACUUAGAGGGUAAAGGACACGAUAAAAAUUGAAAUUAUUAUCAUUUACUAAAUCAGAAUACAACUUUUUGCCUCAAAUACAAGUGAAUAAAAUACCCAAAUAGACUUUUAUCCACCAAGGAUCGUCGUCUAAGAUAAAAAAAAUUGUUCAAUAUAAUUAAAGUUAGUAAUGUGUCUUAUGUCUUAUUCCGUGUUCUUAUGUCCAAUACUUACAUUUUUAGAUAAUCAAACGUAUUCAUCCUGUUGAAGUACAUGGAGUCGAUACAAGUUAAGAACACAGUGGCUUGGGUUAGGUGAUAGAUGUACAAUCGUAUAGCUUAUAGGUCAAUUCUAACAUGUUUCUGAAAGUCAUUUUGUAUGGAGGUGUGUUAUUUGAACAAUCAUUUGAAUGAUAACUUUUGUGACAACCACUAAUUUACAAAGGAAAGUAGAUAGUGACACGGAAACCAAAGUAAUAGAGAGAUAAAGUAAAAAAAUAAUGUGAGUAUGAAAAAUAAAAUUGUCACAAAAUGGUUGUCAAAAUAUCAUUUCUCUUUUGUAUAACAUGCACAAAUAUUUAAAAGAUAAAUGAUAUUUGUAUAACCAUUUUUUUGACAACUUUUAGACAAUUUUCUCUCUCAUAUUCACGUUAUAUUCUUAACCUUUCUUUUCCUUUUUCUCUCUCCUUUGUUUUUAACCAAUAAAAAGAGAGGAAAAAAAAGUUGUCAAGAAAGUUGUUAGCAAAUAGUUGUUCAAAUAUCAUUGCUCGAGUUAAAAUCGUGCUCACUAAACACAAAUGAUUUUUGACGAAGUUUUGUGUAGGCACAAGCAUUUCGGCGCACAUACAUAAAUCAAAAAAAUUAAAAGAUAAAUAAAACAGUCACAUCAAUCAAUAUCAUUUUAAUCAUUUAGUUUUUAAUUUUUUUUUAACUUCAUGGAUGCGUACCUAAAUGUGAGGUGUUGGUCAUAUGACCAAAUAAGAGAUUUUCAUGAUUUUUUUACCAUAAGAUCAAAAAGUUAUAUCAUAUCUCAUUUUAUUACAUUUUUUCUUUAAUGGUGGGGUUUAUUGGUUUCUAAAAAUAUAUCAAUUACCACCCUUUGUUUUCAAAUUCUUUAACCCCGUCACUAAAAACAUAAAAGUAUUUGGAGUAGGUUUAUUUUGUGAAAACAUUUUAAGUUUUCUAGAAUUUAUAUUUUUAAGCAAAAGUGAAUUGCAAAAAUUUAAGCGAGAUUUUUUAUCACAAGUUUACAAUUAUGGUGAAAUCGAAGAACUUAACUACUUAGGUUGUAAACUAAGAACAUUUUAUUAACAAAGAACCAAAAACAGGCAUGAUGGAGUGCAUAGACCAAAAUCUAAAGAAAAAACAUCAAACAGAAAUAAAGGGAAACUAUGUCGAUUAUUAUAACAACAAUCCUCUAAAAUAAAUCUAGGUGGAAGAGUCCACCAAAUAUAACGUUUAGAUUAAAAACCAAAUCCCGCUAUAAAUAUGAGAGAUUACAAUUAAUUGCAUUUGAGAACACAAUGACAAAGCAUUGCGUUGUCUUUUUUUUUUUUUUUUUUUGUCAUUUAGCUUAAUGGCUAUAGAAAUUCACCUUAAAGAUGAAUAAUUGAAGUGUCAUGCAUCGUCUGUUUUUUAAUCUCCACGUGAUAGACCGAGAAUUCUAAAAAGACUUCACCGAUAAUGACGGUGGAGAUUAAAAAACGUUCAUAAUUGCGGCCAACAAAACAAUUUGUGACUAAUAAUUCUAACCUUUUUAAAGAAAAACACGAAGUAGACAAGAAAAAGGAUGUAUCAAUAUGACAAUCAAUGGAAGUCCAAAGUCAACUCUAAAUGUUAACAUCAAAUUGAUUAACGUUGUAACUUGUAACACCUCGUUUUUUCAACUUAAAAAUUUCACAUAUAAAUUAAAGUAUUUCAACAUAAACAGAAUGUCACACUUCUUUUCAUAAAAUCAUAAACAGAAUAAAAUAACUAUUUAUCCUUCAAAUUCAACAGCAUAUCAUUUAUUACAUCGCAACGGAAUGUAUUCAACAUUUAAACAUCUUUUGCACCAAGGCCUCAACAUAAAAUCUCUUAAAGUUAUUCCAACAACAUGUUCAUGAAAGUUCAUAAAAUAAUACGUAAGGAAUAGAAAGCAACAACAAAAUUCUCAUCCCGUUACGUAUCAGGGCACCUAAGACACACGUGAGAGAUAGUCCACUCACGACAACAACUAACAGCAACUAUUCUCGAUCACCUGCAGGUUACCCAUAUGAAGGGUAACAAUUCCAAGCAGAAGGGGUGAGAUUUCAUAUUCAAAUAAUAAUAAGCAUAUAAUUCAUUAAAUGCAUUUAACAACUUAAACUUCAUCAAUUAAUAACAUUAACUCUUCUUAUAAUACUUCGUUAAUAACUCAAUCAAUUUCUAAUCAUCAUUAACUUCAUAUUCAUCACAUUAUAUACAACAUCAUAUAGCACAUAAUAAUCAGAUCAUAAACAUCAUCAUAUAACGACAUAAUCAUCACAUCAUAAACAUCAUCUUAUAACAAGAUAAACGAUACAUCAUAAACAUCAUCUUAUAACAGCAUAAACAACACAUCAUAAACAUCAUCUCAUAACGACAUAAACAACAACGAUUAAUAAAUAUUAAUACUUCACUUAGUUCUUUAUUAACAACUCAUUGACAAAUGACAACUUAACGACAACGACAAUGCGACUUCUACAUCUUAAACUCAACAUAUGCAACUUCAACUUCUUAAUCAUGCAUGUGGUACCAACCAGAGCAUCAAGCCCUCAACAUAAAGAGCAUAAAUACACUCACAGGGCAUCAAGCCCUCAACAUAAGAGCAAAAGCUCACAGAGCAUCAAGCCCUCAACUUCAAAUGAUUAUGCAUGGACUCAAAAACGUACAACUUAGACAAAUUCACAACUUAUAUGAUCCAAUAUCUUGGAAUAACAACUUACAACUUUACAACUUAGACCAACACUUGCAACUUAAUGACAAUAAUGGUUCAACAACAACAGAAACAGCAACAUAAACAUCUUGCAACAUAGCAACAUCAAUAAUAACAAUUUGAAUGAUAUAAACAAUAAUAAUUUCUAUAUCAUACAUUUUCAACACCUUAUAUAAAUAUCUUAAAUUAACCAACAAUCAUUAAUCAUUUGAUUCAGGCUCUCUUUAACUCUAUAACUUAAUAACAACUUCCAUUCUUAUCCAAAGAUCAACUCAAAACAUAGGUUAAAUACUCUUAAACAUCUUAAUUGAACUCAUAGUACUUCUAGUUUUGAGGUUUUGAAUUAUCCCAUAAGUUUUGGAUUAACUUAGAAAUGGUUAUGCUGAAUUUUCAUAAGAUUUCACUAAGACCUCUCUGGAGUAUUUUUUAUCAUAUCUCAAAAACCAAAAAUCAUUUUCAAAUCAAACCAAAGCCAUUGAAAAGCUAAUAAAAUUAUCUAAAACUUUCAUGUUUACAACUAGACACAGUUCAAAGCGGAAAGGGGUGAAAAAUAGUAAAAUAAGAAGGAUCUGAUUCACAAAAAUCGUGCCACGUUUUUAUGCCCAGAACCAUUGAACUUUCGGCCAACAAAAUUGUGCCACGCUUGCAAAAUCGUGACACGUUUUGACAGCAUCAGGUCCAGAAAUCUGCUUUUCAAAAAGUGCAAUUUUCACCAUUUCGCGCGUAAAAUUCAAACCGUUAAUCGGAUUUUGAUGCCGUUUUCGCCUACACGCUCCUGAAACUUGGCUCUAUCAUAAUCUACAGCUAUUUCAAGUCUCAACCAUCCCAAGAAUCAUUUUCCAAAACCUCACAUAAUCCCUUAUUUGCAAAAACGUUUAGACACCGACUUUUCAAGCGAAAAUCUCAAUUUUCAUCAACUCAACCCCAAAACUGGUUCUAAUCAUUGUACUGUGAAUAAUCUAAGGUCUGAACAUCGUUUCUUCAUUAAUUCAACAGGUUUCUAUCAUCUAAUCAACCAAUUACAACUUUUAACCCUAAUUUCCCAAAUUCCCAAAACUACAACCUACAACAUGUUAAAUCCAAUUUUCAGAAUUAUACAACUUAUAAUUAAAGAAUGUUAUCAUUCUAGGUUCUUCUCUUCUAUUGUUUUCUCCCUUUUUCUCCAAAAACUUGUUUUACGCGAUCCUUAUUUUCUAAUUCUAACUCUCCCCUUUUAUAUAAAUCCUUAACCUACUUAUUUUCUCUUAUUUCCAAAUCUACCCCCAAAGUCUCAAUAUUCUAUUCUAAUAUAUAUGUAUAAUAAAAUACUUCUAUAACAAAUAACAAAUAUAUCUCUAUAACAAAUAUAUUUAUGUACCAGAUAACAUAUAUAUUUCUUCACCAAAUUAGAUAUAUAUUUCUACACCAAAUAACAUAUAUAUUAUACUAAUAAAUACCAACAUAUAACAUAACAAAAUAUCACUCAUCAAAAUAAAUCGACUAAAUUAUAAAAAGACAUCUAAAUUCAAUAAAAUAAAUAAAUAUUAAAAUAGGGCGUUACAAACGUGCUUUCUAUCAUCGAUGAACCAGAGCAAAAUUACCAUUAGAUUCAAUCAAUGGUCAUGAUUUAUACAAAAUAAAAAUAAGAACAUUUAAGAAUUGCCUCGCACAAUCUUGCCCCUAUUAAACUUUUUUAUUUUUGGUAUUCAUCAUCUUCAACCUCCAUUCCAAUUUUUUCGUAAUAAAAAAAAAAAAAAAAACUCCAUUUCAAUUUAGGAGCAAUGCUACAAAAGAGAAUUUGCACAAAAAAUUGAGUGUGUCUUCAAAAGUUUACGGGGUUUGCUAAAAAUCUAGUUUAUGGGUUCAAUUGGAGGUGGUGACUAAUGAAAUUGGAGGUUUAACUCAUCCUUAAAAACCAGUUCAUAAGGUGAGUCACGCCCAGCACUCUUUGGGCUUACGUGAAUCGGUAGGUAUUUGGGCUUACGUGAAUCGAUAGGUAACUCUUGAAUUCGACAGGUUCUGAUACCAUAAUGAAAUUGGAGGCCUAACUCAUCCUUAAAAACUAAUUCAUAAGGUGAGAAUUGUCUCCUCUAUAUUAACUCUUAUCAAGAGUCUUAUCUUUUCGAUGUGGAACAUGAGUUUUUUUCAAUAAUGACCUUUAAAGUUUAAACACGCGGCAUCUUUGAAUUCUACAUAGAAAAAAAAAAUAGAAUUAUAGCGUGUUAUGUUUGUUUCUCUAGAGCAUGAGACAUUUCAUUGUUCAGUUUAUGUUGUCAUGGAAAGGCAUAUGAGUGAUGGGUGUACAUCAUCGAUCGGUGGUUUGAUUCUCGUGAAUAGAACAAAAAAAAUCUGAGCUCAAUGGUACAAAUCCUUACGAUGAAAGGUGAGAUAUAGUAGGAUUGUGUGUGGAUAGUUGUAAAUGUUAUCUUUUUUAAUUCUAGUAGAUCAAAAUUGUUAAUCUCAUUUCAUGGUAAAAAUUAAAUAGUCCAUUUGUGAGGGACUCAAUAGCUCCUUCACCUUAGACGUCACCCUUAAUUAAUAAGAAACUAACGGCGAGGGACUCAACUCCCUCACCUUAGACGUCACCAUUGAUUAAUAAGAAACUAACGAUUGAAGUAAAUAAACGAGAAAGAAACUCAAACUUCUUUCUAAACUUUCUUUCUCUUUCGUUCAUCAAGGAGGGGUGGUUUUUGACCUAGAAUCACCCCUCUACAUCUUUUUUCCCAUUUUCUUUCAAUCUAAAUAAGUGGUUUUCACAUACAAGUGUUUCCUUUUGUGUUUUUUGUGAUUUUGUCGUCUAAGUACAACGCUGUGUUGGUCGUCGUCUUGUGCGGCGUUUGAUUUCACGUCUUGUCGCGGCGUUCGUUUAGUUUCUAUUGAAAGAUUGACAUCGGUCAAUUAUAAAUCCAAUCAAUGAUUUGGGUGUGAAUGUUGCCGAUCUAGAAACAUGAGUAUUUCGGUGACUUAGAUUUAAUCAUAUUAGUUGUAGCAUUUUGUCAUUUUAUGUUAUUAACUUGGGUGCUGUGAGUUUGUUCGCAGUUUUACCCUUUACGUUUCUAGCGAUUUUUGUAUCUGAUGUACUCUAUCAAUCUGAAUGAAUGAAUAUCGUUUUGUUUUUAUUAAAAAAAAAAAAUAAAAAAAAAACUAACGGUUAAAAGUUUGCUCUACAUGCCUACAAUGAUAAUAAAUAGAGAUAAUUUACUACAACUUUUAAAACAAUGAUGCUCAUUUAUAGGAACUUUACCAUAAAUAAGUCUCCAAAGAAAAAAUGAUUUGGAUUGAGGAAUUGAAGGUUUCCAAAUAAGCUAUGUCCAUGAUUGAUCAUAUGCAGAAACUUGACAAAAACUAUCAGCAUCCUAAACUGAAAGAGAACCUGAUGAAGAACCCUUCUAAGCAAGAUAUUCAGUGGAAAACUAUACCCCGAUAUUUAUCAAAUUUCAUAUUUCACCAAUUCAACUCUCUCUAUCAAUAGUAUAUAUAUAAAGUAAGAUUUUUUAUGACACGUGUCACUUCCACGUUUAUUCGCAAUAUUUUUAUUUUUUUUCUAAUUUUUCAAAACCAAUAUUUAAUUUGGCAUAAAUAUCUCAACAAACUUUUGAUCUUAUCUAUUAAAUAUUUUACUUAACUAUUUAUUGAAUUCCUAAUAUUUUAUGUAAUAGAAAUAUCUCAACAAAAUUACAUACGAUACCCUUCAAUUAAAAAUCAUCAAUCAAUCAAUAGUAUAUAUAGUAAGGUUUCUUAUGCCACGUGUCACUUUCAUGUUUAUUCGCAAUAUUUUUAUUAUUUUUAUAUUUUUUAAAAUCAAUAUUUAAUUUUGUAAAAAAAAAAUCAAUAUUUAAUUUGGCAUAAAUAUUUCAACAAAAUUUUAACCUUAGGGAUGGCAAUGGGUACCCUAUCCCAAUGGAUAGGGUACUAUAGUACCCUAUCCAUUGGGUACUCAUUGCCAUAAAUGUAUUGGUCUAUUCUCCACUAUCAUAAAUAUAAAGUGAAAUAUAUUGAAUUGGAAAUGAUGAAAGUAGUAUUAAUUAGAGUUAUAAUUGAAAAAAAAAGUAAUUAAUAAUUGUAUUGAAAAGUUAAAUGCAUCAAGAUUUUUGAGACAAUAUUUUUUACAAAUAACUUAGUUAUUAUGGGACGGAGGGAGUAACACUUUAACAUGACAAUGAAAAGUAAAUUUAAGAAUUAAAAUGCAAGAAAUGAAGAGAAUGUUUCUCUAACACAAAACUAUUUUUUUUUUCUCUUUCACUUAUACACUUUUUUAAUGUGUAAAAUAAAAAAUAAAAAAAACUUAUGUAUAAUGAGACGGAGGGAGUAGUUAGUAAGAACAAAGUCGUCAAGGAACCAAUUAACUCUUGAUUUCACUUCCCAAAAACGUCUUGAUAGUGCUAUACUCCCUCCGUCCCAAAUUAUAAGCAAAAAAACAAAAAUCACACUUAUUAAGAAAACUAAAACAUAAAAAUUUGGAGUAUAGUUUUUUGUGUUUUCGUUGGAAAAAGUUUUAUAGGAAGAUGUAAAAACAAUUUUCAUUGGCUAUUGAUUAUGGAAAAAAUGAAAGAAAGAGAAAAUUGAAUGUAAUUUGCAUUUAAUUUUAUGAGAAUAACAAAAAAAAAUCUUGGAAAAGAUUAAAAUUUGUCUUUUUUCCUUAUAUUUUGGGACAAAGAAAAUGAAUUUCUUUUGCUUAUAUUAUGGAACGGAGGGAGUACUUGGUUAAGCUGGAUUGAGCAUUCAAUUCUAAUUUAAGGGCCUUUAAUUUACCUUAAAGAAUAAACAUAGGACAACCAACCACAUAAUUAUUUAUACCAAACAUUUUCCACCACGUGGGUGAUAUCUGGAAGAUGAGAGUCCAUUUAAGUGAGUCAAUGUGACGAAAAAAAAGAUAAAAUGGCAAUUUUAGGAUCGUAAAUUUCUGAAAAUAAUGGAAGUAGUAAUUCUUUUAACGUUUUCAUUGUUUUAAAAAAAUUAUCCAAUCAUAUUUUAUAUGCAAUUUUUGUUUUUUAGAUUAAUUAAACAAUAAAUUUUGUUAACCAGUGUCCUAAGGGUGAUGAUUAAGGAAUUCAAAUGUAAAAGUUUUGUCUUGUAAUUGUAGGAUGUUACAUUUGAUCAAGUAAUGAUUAUACUACUUUUUAUUAAAAACUUACUUGAUUUAGUUGUUUAACCAGUGUGAACACUAGUUAACAUUCUCCUUAAAUAAUUGAUGUUUCUGAAAUAUAAUAUAUAUAUAUAUAUAUAUAUAGCUCAGAUACAUCACUUAUUUAAUGAAGAGUUUUUUUUUUUUCCUUCUCUUAAUUAACGAAUAAAACUAACACUUAUAUAUCUACCAAAAAAAAAAAAAAACUAACACUUAUAUAAUAUAGUUCGGAUACAAUAUAUUUAUAUAAUAUAAUCCGGAUACAUCACUUAUAUAAUCAACAUUGCUAUUUACCGCGACAAGUUUUGUCCCGAAUGCAUCAAGAAUGAAAAUAAGCCAAUUAAAAACAGCUGUUAGUGGAAAUCAUGGGAGGUGGGGGAGAAAAAGAUGGAAAUCAUAAACUAAUGGAUGGAUGGCAUACAUGCCACAUGUGUCUGGAAAAUCUCGGGACAGUUUUAUUUCGUGUGAAAUAGCAUUUUUCCUUAUAUAAUAUAGUCCAGGUACAAGGCAACUAUCACCGGAUGAGGUUUUAUCUUUUUAUUAAUGAAUAAAACUUUUUUUAAGAAGCUAAAUGCAAAAUAUAUUAAAAACCAAAUUAGUUAAGCACAAGAUGUGCCAAACGAAAAACUGUGUAUAACGUCAAAGUAACAAACUCGAUAAAGAAAGAAACCACAAAUAAUAAAAAUCAAAAGCGAAAUUCAGUUUAUGUGUCUUUAGCCACCACAAAAAAUGAAAUUUAAUAUUGUCGAGAAGUUGAUCCUUAGAAGACACGUUGUUAUUGAAAUUUCUCGAGUUUCUCUCCUUCCAAAUUCUCUCCUUCGAAAUAACUCAAAGACAUGUCAGCACACCACUUUAAAACAAGAGCUAAUGUCCUUCCUGAAAGCAUGCGCGCCAAAAAAUUGUUGUGCGUGACAACCAAUAUUUGAUGGAACGACGGUAGUUUUACCCUACCAGAUCAACAAACACCCUACCAGAUCAACAAACAGGGAAAAUAAAUAAAAAAUAUUUUUGCAAAGUAAUUAAACGGAUUCUAAUGUUUAAUAGGAACCGAUCGAGGACAACAUAGAAAUCAUGCUGGAAUUUGAAGAAGAAAUACAAACCUAAUUAAAGAGAGGGGCUAAGUAUUUCCAAGCUGGAACUUGAAAAAGAAAAACCAUGCUCUAAUUAAGUAACUAAGUAAGGUAGUACAUUACAACAAUUGAGAUAAGUACGACACAUUAUGAUGAUUAUGACUUAUGAGCUGUUAAAUGAUGUUGUAGGAUUACUUUUUUCUUGUCAAAAAUAAAUAAAUGAUGUUGUAGGAGAAACAUUAUUAUAAACAUUAUUAUAACUUACAAGGACUAAUGUUUAAAAAAAAAAACUUACAAGGACUAAUAAUGAGACAGAACGAAAGUGUACGUGAGUGUAGGAGACACGUUAUUAUAACAUUUUAUAAAUAUUUAAACGUUGAUAAUAAUUUUGUCGAUCUAUAAACCACUACCAAUUCCUAGUUAAAUAUAUAAUAAUUUUUAUUAUAUUUGUUAGUUGAUGGUAAAAGAUGAAUAUAAUUUGUUACUAUAUUUUUUUUUGACAAAAUAAUUUGUUGCUAUUUAAAAUUCAUAAAUAUAGUCUAUACAUAUAAUUUUAAUAAAAAUAAAAAUUCACCCAAAAAAAAAUCAAAAAUUUCAUAAAAAAAUAAAUAUUGUUUAUAAUUCACGAGCGUUGUCGCAGUACAAAAAUGGAUAGAUGGAUACCCAGUACUAGUAAUUAAUGAAGUUAAUUGGUAAAAUUUCACUCUUACUGGUGGUUGAUGGUAGGGGUGUUUACGGUGCGGUUUGGUUCGGUUUUGAGAGAAAAAGUCAUCCAAACCGCAAGAUAAAAAAACAUGCGGUUUGUGUAACACCCACAGCUGACGAGGGCAGGGGAGUGGUCACCGGUGCACAAGGCACGCCAAUGAGCGGCUCCCGACAGCUUCUAGAGGAACCGAAUCACAUCUGAAUGAGAGGGAUCCUGAGGCCGUGUAGGUGUGGGACUACAUGAAUGAAGGAAUGCUUAUAAGAAUUGUUUGGUAAUACCUAUAUCAACAAGGUGCAUCUUCUUUUUGGUACCCUAUUCCAUAAGAACUCCACAGUUAAGCGUGCUUGACUUGGAGUAGUCUUUGGAUGGGUGACCUACCGGGAUUCCCGAUAAGCAUGCGAGUGAGGACAAAACACGCUGAAAAGACUCGUGUUGGUUUGUAGGGUCAGUCGACAAUGCUUAAAGUCGUCUGGGAUGUUACAGUUUGGUUUGGUUCGGUUGGCUUUAAAAUAAAAUCCGAACCAAACCAAACCAAUAUGGUUUGGGUUGUAUCGGUUGGUGCGGUUUUUUUCGUGACGAUACGAUUUUUUGUUUCCAACAUUAAAAUCAAGAUAAAAAGCUGAAACACAAUAUAUUUUCAACAAUGUUUUAAAUUUCAUCAAACAUUACAAUUUCAUUUUCAUUACAAUGUUUCCAACAACAUAAACCAAAUUAAAAACGCGGACAAAAAGUAAUCUUAUUUUGUAAGAAAUGCAAAAGACUGAGAUGUUCUCAUUCUCUAAAAGUUAAGUAGCACAUAAAUACAUUUUUAAAUAAAAAGCAAAUAAUGAACUUAACAAGAGAAAAAAAAUAUGACAUUUUAUAAAAGUUUUCAUUGAGUUUCUAUGAGUAUUGGUCUUGAUGACAUAUGUUUAAUUAACAUUUUUCUUAUGUUAUGGUUUGGUUUGGUUUUGUAUCUAUUUGACAGUCUCUUUGUACUUUGAGCGACCUCUUUAGUACGCCUUAUGCUAAAGAGGUGUCUCUCUUAUUGUGAAUAUAUAUCAUUUUACCUUCUUAAAAAAAAGUUAAUUGGUAAAAAAAAAAAAAAUUUCUCUCUUGAUUUAUAUGAAAUGACAUUUUUUUUUGGAACAUGGAGGGUAUUGAUUUUUACACCUUUUCAAAAGCCACUCAAGGAUGAAUAUAGAUUUUUCAUGCAUCAAACACAAGAAUCAUUAGCAUAACAUGCUUUGGAAAACACACACAUAUACUUAAAUUAAUGGUUGGAGUAUCAAAUUUAAAAAUAUUGUUGUCAAUACAUACCCCGUCAAUCCUCCUUUUUUACCCAAUAAACAUUGAAAUGUUGCUUCUUUCGUUAAGCAUAAAAACAUCAAAGUCUAGCAAAAUGUUGUUUUUGCGAUGACACAUUUCAUAUAGUUUAAAGGAUGCAUGAUUCGAUUACAAAAACAAAAUACUAAUAAUUCUAGCACAAAGUUUAAAGCUAAGAUUAUAAAGCUUCAUAGCAUGUGGAUAUUCAUUUAGAAAUAUAGGAUUAGGAUUGCCCCUUUCAUCACGGGUCUAAUAGCACCACUUGUCACUACAUGUUAAAAAUGUCCUCUAGUACAACACCGCUUUUUACUUGAUUCCCCUUGUCCAUGAAAAAAUCAAACAAUAUUUGGACACAAAAAUUUGCCCCCACUUUCCUUUUUCUUCUGCCCUAGUUUGUUUGAAAACUCAUAUUGAUCAAAUUUGGCUAUGAAUUCAAACAAAAAAUUCACUCUGCCCAUUGCAUGUGUGGGACCCACAUAUAAAUCCAUGAAGGAUUUCAAUGUCCAUCCAAGUCAAUGAUUCAACAUAUAACAUUGAAUAAUUUAAUUCCAAUUUGCAGUAUUAUGAUUUAGAUUGAUUGCUGCAAUACGGUCCGUGAAUGUAACUCACGAGAAAGAGGUAUCAAGGUAUUUUAUUUUAUUUUUAACAAAUAAAAUUUCAAGGUCUUGUUCACCAUAUAAACCUCCUCACUCUCACUCAAUUCUCUUAAGUGUAUGACUUCAUAGUAAACUACACUACUUUCUUUAAAACAUGGCUAACUAUGCUAUAGCCAAUGUUUUGAUCCUUCUCUUGAACUUGAGUACCUUACUCAAUGUUCUUGCUUGCCCUUAUUGUCCUUACCCAAGCCCUAAACCACCUUCACACCACCCUCCUAUUGUUAAGCCACCAGUUCACAAACCACCAAAGCAUUCUCCUACUCCUAAACCACCAGUUCAUAAACCACCAAGAUAUCCUCCUAAACCAUCACCUUGUCCACCCCCAUCAUCAACACCAAAACCACCUCAUCAUCCCAAACCCCCAGCAGUACACCCACCACAUGUUCCAAAACCACAUCCACCUUAUGUUCCAAAACCACCAAUUGUUAAACCUCCAAUAGUACAUCCACCUUACGUACCAAAACCCCCAGUUGUGAAACCACCACCAUAUGUCCCUAAACCACCUGUUGUGAGACCACCCUAUGUUCCUAAACCACCAGUUGUACCUGUAACACCACCUUAUGUUCCUAAGCCACCAAUUGUUUUCCCACCACAUGUUCCUCUACCUCCAGUUGUACCAUCACCACCACCUUAUGUACCAACACCUCCAAUUGUGAAACCACCAAUUGUUUUUCCACCACAUGUUCCUCUACCUCCAGUUGUGCCUGUAACACCACCUUAUGUGCAACCACCACCUAUUGUAACUCCACCAACACCAACACCUCCAAUUGUGACACCACCAACACCACCUAGUGAAACAC
rnacentral:lncRNA from 1 species